AAAAAAAAAAAAAAAAAGUAUUAUAUGGUGUAAAACAGGCACUGAAGGGCCGUUGAAGAGAAGAGAGACAAAAACCAACUCCUUAUCCCUAUUUGGAGCUCAAUUAGUCAAUGAAGUUCACCAUGGACAUUGAGAAAUCUCCUAUAUACAGUUUAAUCCACUUAAAAAAUAUUUUACUUAAAGAAUUGUUUGAUUGCUUGAUCCACCCUUUCAGAAUUUUCAAACACCUUCCCAUUUCUUUUCUUCCAUAUGACCCAAAUAAGCACAAAGGAAAAAAUCUCAAAGCUUUCUUCCUCUUUUUCCUAACAAAGGAUCCAUUCGAAUUUAAGAGGGCACCUCUUAUUGAAGAGUACAUUACCCAAUCUAUCCAAACAAAGAAUAAAUGAGCUGCUAUAGAAUGACUACUUUUGAGAAAUGAAGGAUGAUGUAAUCAAUCAUCUCUUCUCCUUUAAACAUAUAGCAUUUGUUCGACAACUUCCAUCCACUCUUAUUGAGCUGAUACAACUUCCAUCCAUUCCUGUUGAGUUGAUCCAACAUCAAGAUCCUUUCACAAAUUGCUUCCCAAGUAAAAAGUUCGAUCCUCAACAAAACCUAACGAUUCAAAACAAUGCUUGAAGGGAAAAACUUCAUUCUCCUGUUAGACAAAGAAGAGUAAAGGAAUUUAACUAUGGAUUAGCUACACCUAGAAUUCAACCAAAUUAUUUUCUCCUCCUCAUCUGCACUUGUAGUCUUCUAUAAAAAAACCUCUAUUCUUAUCUAGUUCCUAAUUGAGAGACUUCUACUAUCAAGAUUGCCUCAUUCCUCUUGUCCAUGAAAAUGAUCGACCAAUUUAUCAAAUGCGACUUAUUCUCAAUAGCACCUUCCCUUAAAGGAAAUCCCUUUGAAUCUUCUCCAACCUUAAGCUCACCUUUCUAGGGAUGAUGAGUAAUGGCAUGGAGUAGAUUGCAAGCUAGAUAAAGUACUUUUAGUUAGAGUUAGCCUUUAUUUUUUUCAAUGCAAUUAUUUAUUUAUUUUUUUGAUAGACAAAGGCAAAUUGAAAUAAGAAGACGCCAAAACAGGGGGCGUACCCUACGUAUACAGGCAGUAUACAAAAAGAGCCAAAACUAGGCUGCAAAAAGAAAGAAAGAAACUAGAGAGAAAUAAAGCUAGCCACCAUGCCAAUCACCCAAAAAAUUCAGAAAAGAAGGAAAAUCUAAAUCAAAAAACUGAUGAGACCACUCUAUAAGUGAAUGGAAAAAGAGGUUCCCCAAACUUUGAUCUAACAACUCUUCCUCUUAGAAAGUUCUUCGGUUUUGCUCAGUGUUAUCAAAAGCAAAAAACAAUAUCAAGGUGAUAAGACUCCUUUUAGCCUAAGAUGAAAGGCAAAAAACAAGGCGAUAACCUAACUAUAGUAAGGCAAUAGAAAAUAUACAUAUAUUUACCUAUUCAAUAUUCAACCAAUAUAAGUGUUGUUUUCAACAAUCAACACUAUUAAUUUUUCAUCACUUAUGAUGUCUUAUAAAAUUAACAAAAUAGUAAUAAUUAUUGAAAGUGUUAAAUAUUAUACCCCAUUUUAUAAAAAACAUCAUAUUUUUUUUUGAUAAAUGAGCACAAAUAUAUUAAGGGGCAGAAAGCCACAAAGCAUACAGGAAGUAUACAUAGCAGCCUAAGCAAAAACACAUGAACAAAACACUCACCAUCCCUUAAGGAAUGGCAAGCCAAUGCAAAAAACCUAAAAGCGAAGAGGACUCCUCUCCCAUAUACACCCUAGCCCAACUCCACAAGUUACAAACAAAAGAAUUUUUCAACUUUUGUAUAGCUAGAGAGGCCCCCUGAAAAUUAAUCUAUUUCUUUCCUUCCAACCGUCCAAAAAAUACACAACGGAAUGAAAUUCCAAAUCUUUUUCCUCUUUUUCCCCACAAAAGGGCCCCUCCAAUUAAGUAACAUCUCUUUGAUUGUCUCUGGGAACACCCAAUUAGCCCCAAACAAGGCAAGGACAAUCUCCCAGAGAACCCUUACAACUAUACAGUGUAAAAGAAUAUGAUUUAUAGUUUCCUCUUCACAACCACACAAAAAGCAACGAUUUGGAAGAUGCCAGCCCCAUCUUUGAAGCCUAUCCAAAGUUAGGACCUUCUCCCAAGUAGCCUCCCAAGCAAAAAAAGCAACUUUGGUUGGGACCUUGUCCACCCAAAUACUCUUUUUCGGGAAGGUGAUGGCACUAGGGACUGUUAGCAGCUUGUAAGCAUCUCUAAUCCGAAAAAGACCAUGUCCCCCUCCUUUGCAUAUCACUGAGUCCUCUUCAGGAGAAAUCCUCAAGUCCCUCAGCACAUGAAACAACUCUCCUAAAGCGUCCAACUCCCAAUCGUUAGAGUUUCUAGAGAGUCUUAUAUUCCAACCUCCUUAGCCAAAGCUAGAAUCCCACAUCUCAUUUACCGAGGUGUUCCUUGGGUCGCCAAGGCAAACAACUGGGGAAAACUUUGGGACAACGCCUCAUUAUCGCACCACUGAUUAGUCCAGAAAUUAACCUUGGUCCCCUCUCCCACCUUGAACUCUAUAUUAUCCCAACAUCAAUACGACUCCUUCAAGAUUUCCUUCCAAACCCCCACUCCAAACGUUCCGCGAGCCUCAUUAGUUCUCCAACCAAAACCCUCAUAGCCAUACUUCACCCCGAUCACCUUCUUCCAAAGGAUUUCUUUUUCAAAGGCAAAUCUCCAAAUCCAUUUGCCCAACAAAGCCUUAUUCAGGAGAUCAAUCUUCUAAAUGCCUAGACCCCCUUUCUCCUUUUGGGUGCACACCACCUCCCAAUUGAUUAAGUGGAUUUUUAUUUCCAGGCUUCCCCCUCCCCAAAGAAAAUCCCUUUGUAAUUUUUCGAGCCUUUUUGUAACUAGCUUGGGCAUUCGAAAAAGAGACAAUUGGUAAAUAGGUAUACUGGCCAAAGUGCUCUUAAUGAGGGUAAUUCUCCCGCCCUUUGACAAAUAUUGUCUUUUCCAAAGGGCUAGCCUUCUUCUCAUUCUUACUUCCACCCCGUCCCACAUAGCCGUGGCCUUGUGAUUGGCUCUAAGGGGCAGCCCCAAAUAAACAGUAGGAAGGGCCCCCACUCUACACCCUAUCUCCACAGCCAAUUCAUCGAUGUCUUCAACCUCCCCAACAGGAAUUACUUCACUCUUAGCUAGGUUUAUUUUAAGACCAGAGGCUGCCUCAAACCACGCCAAAAUCCAACUUAGAUAGGUAAGGUGAUCUUGCUUUGCUUCACAGAAGAUAAUAGUGUCAUCAACAAAUAGUAAAUGGGACACAUUUAUUUCCAUUCCCCCCCUCCCACGAAGACUACAGCCGGAUAUGAAUCCCCCAUCAACAGCCCUUCUUAAAAGCGCACUUAACACUUCCAUACCCAACACAAAAAGGUAGGGAGAGAGUGGAUCUCCUUGGCGCAACCCCCUGGAAUUGGGAAAAUAACUUGCUGGCACCCCAUUAACCAGAAUAGAAAAAUUUGCAAUUGAUAUACACCACCAUAUCCACUCCAUCCAACGAGCUCCAAAACCCAUCUUGUGUAGAACCUUCAUGAGGAACUUCCAAUUAAUGCUAUCAUAGGCUUUUUCAAUGUCAAAUUUACAAAUCAACCCUUUCUCUUUACGUUUAUGCUAGAAGUCAAUCACCUCAUUGGCUAUGAGCGAGGCAUCCAAAAUCUGUCUUCUUUUCACAAAAGCAUUUUGGUCCAUAGAGACCACUUUGUCUAAAACCUUUUUCAGCCUAUUGGCCAACACUUUGGCCAAGAGCUUAUACAAUCCCCUUAGUAGACUAAUGGGCCUGAAAUCCCCAAGGUCAUCAGCCCCCCCUUUCUCGGGGAUGAGGACUAGGAAGGUAGAAUUGAGACUCUUAGCAAAGGACUUCUCAUAAAAAAACUCCUUGAACAUAUUCACAAUCUCCUCCUUCAUGAAAUCCCAACAAGAUUGCCAAAAGGCCACUGUGAAUCCAUUUGGGCCUGGAGCCUUAUCACCAUUCCCAUCAGAGCAGCAUGAAUCUCUUCCUCAAUGAAUGGCUGCUCCAAGCCUUCAGCUUCAAUAUGGUUUAACCUUUGAAGAUUCAGUCCCUCAAUAUCAGCUUUCCAAGCUGGCUCCUCUGACAACAGCUGCUGAAUGGCAUUCACAACCCCCUCUCUCACCUCCUGCUCCUCCUCUAGCCACCUCCCAUUGAUCUUAAUCUUUUCCAUGGAGUUAUUUCUUCUAUGGGCAUUAGCCAUCCGGUGAAAGAACCCUGUGUUCUUAUCCCCUUCCUUAAGCCACAGCUCCCUUGACAUUUGUCUCCAAUGCGUUUCUUCCAAAAGCACCCAUUUUUUAAAGAUAUCAUAUUGUUUAAAGAUAUUCAUCCUAUCUAAAUGUAUAUUCUAAUUUUUCAAACAUCUAAAAAGCAAAAAUAAAAAACAAAAUAAGAGAUUGAACAUUCUACAAAAGCUUUAGUCAUCAUCAUCAUAGUCAUUGUUGAAAUUAAAAUUGUCAUUACUUCCAUCAAGACUAGAUUGAUAACCCUCCAUUUUAUUAUCUCUAUGAUUGAUAAUACAAUAUUUUAUCUUAUACUUUGUUUAAUCCAAUGUUAGAUUGAAUGAAAUUAUAAUCUAAGUAUGUUUAAUCUGUAAUUCAUGGUCAAAGGCGACCGCCUCUAUGCCUUGUGCCUUAUCCCUUAUCCCAAGGCAUUGCCUCUUUGAAGUCACUUUGCCUAGGUCUUCAAAAGACGAUUUUUAUCUACCCUGCUUGGCCUGAUGGCCUAGGCGACCCAAGCGAUUGCCUUUGAUGACACUGGUUUCGCUCUCCCCAAUUACACCAAAAAAGACAAAUAGGCGCCAAUCUCCAAACUGCUUUCCUCUUCUUCCUUAGUCCCUUAACUUUCCAUUCUAGAAGAAGAUUUCUCACUGAAGUCGGGAAUACCCACACCAGUCCAAAAGAUGAUAAUAGUGGAGUCCAUAGCUCCCUUGUCUUACCAUAAUGAAUCAGAACAUGGUCUGCUAAUUCCUCAUUAUCUUUACAAAGGCUACACCCAUUGACCAUGGACUAGCCCCUCUUCAUUAACAUGUCUAAUGUUAAAUUUUUUCCCCAAAUUGCUUCCCAAGCAAAAAACGAGUUCUAAGAGGGGCAUUUGAACCCCAAAUCUCUAUGGCUGGAAAUAAAAAUCUAUUCUUGGCCCUUAAAGACCUAUAAUAUGAUUUGACAUUAAACUUUCCCCUCCCAUCGUUCCUCCAAACCAAGGAAUCCUCCCCUUCUUGGACCUUUAUUGCAGAAAUAUGUUCUAAAAAACGAGUCACCUCCUCCAAUUCCCAAACUUGGAAGGAUCGUCUAAAGUGCACCUCCCAACAUCCGCCUUCACCUCCUUGCCUCCCCAUAGGUCAGCCACUGAAGCAGUUUUAUGGGCUGCAAUUCUGAACAGCUUAGAGAAAAGAUCCUUCAAAUUAGAAUCCCCAACCCAAAUGUUCCACCAAAAUCUCGUGUGUCUACCAUUUUCAAUACAGAUACUAGUUCUAAGAAGGAAAUCCUCCCAUCAUUUUCUAAUGUCUUUCCAAAUACUCAUCCCAUAAGACUCCCUCACCUCUCUAGUGGUCCAACCCCUUUCCACCUCUCCAAAUUUUCCAAUAAUGACUUUCCUCCAAAAACUCUCCCUUUCUAGGGGAAAGCUCCAAAGCCAUUUUCCUAGAAAAGCUUGAUUGAAACCCUCUAAGUGCCUUAAACCCAACCCUCCAUGCUUCUUAUCUUUACAAAUAACCGACCAACUUACCAAAUGGAUCUUCCUUCUUUCCUCCAAAUCUCCCCACAAACACUCCCUUUGAAUUCUCUCUAAUUUGAUUAUCACUUUCUUUGGGAUUAUAAAAAGCGACAUAAAAUAGAUUGGAAGGUUUGAAAGAGUGCACUUAAUAAGGGUAAGUCUUCCUCCCUUUGACUAAUAUUUUUUUUCCAAGCAGCCAAUUUCCUCUUGAAUCUCUCAUCUACAACGUUCCAAACUCUACUCGAUUUAUGAGGGGCUCCAAGGGGUAAACCUAGAUAAGUAGUAGGGAGCUUCCUUACUCUACACCCGAAUAAUGCAGCUGCUCUAUCCACAUCCUUCGUGCCCCCCACUGGUAUAAUUUCACUUUUUGGCAGGUUUAUUUUCAGGCCUGACACUAGUUCAAAACAAGUAGCAACCCAUUUCCAAAAUUUCAAUUGAUCCCAUUAUCCUCGCAAAAAAGAUGGGUGUCGUUUGCAAACAACAAAUGAGAGACAUUAGCCCUUUCUCCACCUCUCCCUAUUACCUUAAAACCCUUAAUGAAACCUUUCUCUCCAGCUCUUGCAAUUAAACUGCUGAACACUUCCAUAAUCAGCACAAACAAAUAAGGUGAGAGUGGGUCCCCUUGCCUCAGGCCUCUAUAUGUUGAGAAGAAAUCUAUUGGAGUGCCAUUGACUAAGACUUCCAUUCUCACAGUUGAAAUGCAGAAAAAAAAAUCCACUUCCGUCAUUUGGGACUAAAUCCCAUUUUUUCCAAAACUAAUAGAAGGAAAUUUCAGUUUACGUGAUCAUAAGCUUUUUCAAUAUUCAAUUUGCACACUAAACCCACAUUGGAGCUUCUUUUCCUCGAGUCAAUCGCCUCAUUGGCUACCAAAACUGCGUCCAAAAUCUGCCUACCCUCCAUAAAAGUGUUCUAGCUAUUCGAUACCACUUUUCCCAUCACCCUUUUUAGCCUAUUAGCUAGGACUUUUUCAAUAAUCUUAUAAAGACUCCACAAGACCAAUAGGCCUAAAAUCCUGCACAUCACUUGCCCCACCUUUCUUCGGGAUGAGAGCUAAGAAGGUUGUGUUAAGGUUUUGAAAAACAAUAUUCUGCGAAUGGAGUUCCUCAAACACUUGCAUCACUUUCCCCCAACUAUAGGCCAACAGAACUUCUAGAAAGCCAACAAAAAACCAUCCGACCUUGGCACCUUGUCACCCCCCAAAUUUGAGAGAGCUGUAGUUACCUCCUCCUUUGAAAACGACCCCUCCAAGGUCUCAUUAUCCAAGGAGUCAAGAUUUCUAAACAGCCCUUAAACCACAACAGGUCUUCUCGCUUGAGUUUCUUCAAACAUGGAUUUGAAGUAGGACCCAAUACCCUCUUUAAGCUCCCCCUCUUUAUUCAGCUGUACACCCUUAACCAUAAGGCUACUGGUAAAAUUUCCCCCUUUUCCUUGCAUUAGCCAUGCGAUGAAAGAACUUUGUAUUUUGUCUCCUUCCUUCAACCGUAGAGCCCUUGAUUUCUACCUCCAGGAAGUUUCUUCAAGGAUGGUGAAGUGACUAUAUUCAUCUCUUGCUGUCCGCUGACUUCUCCUGUCUUCCUCUGAGAGAGGUCUUAGCCUUUCUAAACCGUCCCAAUGGUUUAAUUGUUCCAAGGCAACAUCCUUCCUAGCUGACACAUUACCAAUGACCUCUUUGUUCCAUUUCUUCAAGUUGCAUUUCAAAGCCUGUAACUUCUUAGCAAGCACAAAUCUCGGCUUUCCCCAAAAAUUGUAAGACUGCCACCACUCUUUAAUUUAUCUAUAAAACCUUCCACCCUUAGCCACAUGUUUUUAAAAGGGCUUUUUACCUUUCUUUUUUUGAUAGUUAUUGUCUUUUCCACAUAGCAAGCUGUUUUUGAAAUAUUUUCUCCACCAUGUUUCGCCCCAUGACCCAAACCAUUAACUAGAUCGGCCACAUUAGAAACUGACUGGGAUCAAUUUGCUUUUACUCCAAAUUGAUUUUUAAACCACAAAUUGCCUUAAACCACAUGAAUGUCUAACUCAAAUGUUCUUUGUGCUUGUAACUAGCAUCAUAGAUGAUAAAAACAUCAUCAACAAACAAUAUAUAUGGUGCCUCCAUCACCCUACCACCUCUUCUAGUAAUAGAAAGGCCUACAAUGAAGCCCCCUUCCUUAGCUCUUUCAGAAUACAAAAAGGUGCCUCUAUAGCCAUGGUGAUGAGAUAUGGAGAAAGAGGGUCACCCUGUCUCAAGCCUUUGGAACUUUGGAAAUAACCAAAUGGGGUUUCAUUAACCAAGAUGGAAAAGCGAGCUAUAAAGAUGCACCACUUGAUCUAUCAAUCCACUUGUGACUAGAACCUAUUUUUUUUUUUUUUUGUAGAUUGCUAGCUAGAAGCCCCAUUUGACAUGAACAUAUACCCUCUUGAUAUCCAGCUUAUAAUGAUCCCACUAGUGUUGCUCUUCAAUUUUGAGUCUAUAGCCUCUUUUGCUUCAAGGACCAUAUCCAAAAUUUGUCUACCCUCCAGAAAUGGGAUGCUAAUAAGCAGAAAUUACUUUCCUACUGAAACUGAACUGGUUUCUGAACUUUUUAAAAUUCAAAUUAAUUACAAGGCUGGAGAUUACAACUAAUUAAAUAGAUAGCUAGAGAAUAGCUAACAAUUCUGCUGCCUAGGAACUAGGAGACUUAUUCAAACUCAGUUAACAACUUGACUCCUAAAAAACAGGACAAAAUUUAAAUUUAAACUCUAAACAAUAAUUUUAAAAAACAACAACUAACUCCUAACACAACAAUACUUGAAUAGCAGAAAAUAUCUCCUAGAUUUCCUACACAUACCACUUUUUUCGAAACCUCCACAAAACUAAACUUAUGGUUUGAAUCUUUCAAAUCCUCAACUUCCCGUUCUUAGGGUAAGGAACCAACACAAGAAAAGUGGCAUUAAAGCUUCUUUUGAAAGAGCCUUACUAAUAGAAACUGCCCUCCCACCACACCAAGAAAAGAACCACCAACUAGUGGAAGGUCUAGCAAAUGAAGCUCCUCAAUGAUCUUCGGGAAUCACCUCAUUGGUGAUGAGCUUCUUUAACAAUCCCCCCUUUCCCAAAAAAAUCUAACAAUAUUGAAGUCUCCUCUAACACUUUGGAAUAAUUCCAAAGCCCUCUUAUAUCAAGCAAUUUCGUGUUGAUGGUCUCUUUGUUCCCACUUUGUACCGGCCCAUACACCCUUGAGAACACUCAAGUGAACUAUUCUUAAGAGUUGUUGAACUGAUAAGAGAUUGAAAACACCACCACCUCCAUUUCUAUUAACUCCAACCAAAAUCCUACCUACUUGUACCCUAGUUUCCACAACAUCCCAUUCUAAGAAUCUUCCUACUCCCAAACUCCUCAUCAUCUGCACGAACAUUUGUUGGACCAUUGCUUCUUAUAAAGAGACAAGGUGUGCUAUGGCUGAUUUGAUAAAUGAUUUAAUAAUUUUUUGUUUUUUUCCAUCAUUGAGUCUUUUAACAUUCCAUUAUAAAAUCCGUAGCUUCAUUGAUAAACCUUUGCUAGCUCCCAAUUGCUCUUCCUACUCUUCUCUUUUCUUGAUAAAGCGUUAUAAUUAUUAGAGCACUCUAAAUUUAGAAGUUUAGUCUCAAAUCUAGGUUUGGAUGCUAACUUCCAUUUAUUCCUUGGGCUUAAGGCUUUGCAAUAGCUUUUUUUAUUGCCUUGUGAAAUGAAACUCUAUUCCUUAAUUGUUUGGCUAUAAAUUAUGCAAGAACAUUAUGUUGUCUAUAAAGUUCUGUAAUUCUCUCCUUUUUUCUAAGCUCCAUCCUCCUCAUAAAUGCUAGAAUCUCUUAUUCAAAACUGUGAACUAGCAUCCCCACAAACCUGCUGAAGGAUGCUAGCUUGCUGAAGUAACCCUCAGCAUAGUGGGAUUCCCCCAUCAAACAUUGGAGAAGUGACUCCUAUAUUGCACUUAUCCCCCCUUCCAUCCCCCCUACUUCCUCACACCUAGUGCUUAGGGCAUUUUCCAGGAUCACCACCAGCAUGCCAUCUUGCGAGAUCAUGUAACAUGUUUGAGUAAGAUGUUUUGUUGGGUUCUUGUAAGUUGUGGCUUAAUAUGUAAUUUGAAUGUAAACAAUUAGUCUAUAAUUUAUGCACUUUAGUUUUUAAACAUAAUUUAUUUACAUUUUGUAUUAUUGACCAAUGACACUUGUUUUAUCAUUUUACACAAAAAAAAAAAAAAACUAGUUUAAUUUGUGCAUUGUAAUAUUUUUUUUUUAAUUUUAAUUUUAAUUUUUUUAUCAUUACUCAAAGUUUUAUCCAAAUUUCUUUGUUUCGAGGUCAAAUUUGGUGAUUUUUUAAUCGUUAUCGAGAUUUUUGUAAAAUCAAACCAUCUUUUGAUAUUCAUAUUUUCAUCCUUGAUUGUAUCUAAACAUACCUUUAUAGGUGAGGAGUCAGCUAGGUGGUUAAACUAAUAUAGUGGCUUUUGUACCUUGUUCUCCUACCAGUUUCAUUGUUUUGAAUCUAGUUGAUUUCUGAUGGCUUAUUUGGUAAUUUUUUGUUUGCAGGUUAAAUUUAAGAACCAUUUUAUAUUUACUUUGUUGGCUUUUUUGCAAUUUGUUGGAAAAAAUGCCUGGUGGUGAUAUUAUAGUAACAAAGAACUCUUCUUAAUUUUUGAGUUAAUCAUUGGAAACUACUUUUGUAUGGUUAUUAUAUCAAUGAAUUGGGGAAAAUUAUAAAGCAGUACUUAUUUCAAGUGGGCAAUGACUUCUAGAUUUCUUUACUGCUUCUCAUGAAAUUAAGGACUUGUUUCAUCCUUUAGUUUGUUAGGCUAAUUGCUCUUAUUUUGUUUGAUCUGGUGUGCAAUUUCCUUAAGUUUGAUGAGUACACCUCUUUGGAAAUAUUUAUCCUUCUGUUUUUAUUUUCUUUGAAGGGAUCUUCGAUUAGUGAAUUGGGAUUGCAUCUUGCGAACAGCAAUAUCUGAUAUUGAGGUAAGCCAUGAUACCUUUAAGUGUAUUAGCAAUAGGACUAUAUCCUGCAUUUCUGAAUGUUGCUUGGUUUUUGUAGGUAGACUAUGAGGACAUCAAAGUUAGGACUCUCUUAAAGGUUCCUGGAUAUGAAAAGCCAGUGGAGUUUGGUGUUUUAACAUCGUUUGCUUAUCCUAUAGAAGGAGGGGAAGAGAUAGUUGUGGCCACUACUAGAGUGGAAACAAUGCUUGGUGAUACUGCUAUUGCUGUACAUCCUGAUGAUGAAAGGUACACGCGUUUUCAUGGAAAAUUCGCCAUUCAUCCAUUUAAUGGAAGGAAACUUCCUAUUAUUUGUGAUGCAAUACUCGUUGAUAAGAAUUUUGGGACUGGUGCUGUUAAGGUAAAGCAUCUAUCUAAAGCUUAAAAAUGCUCUCUCUCUCUCUCUCAUCUUUUUGUUUUAUAAUAGUCCUAAUGAGAGAAUUCUUUCCUUUAAUCUUUCUCUUAAUUCUCCUUAUGGGAUGUAUGUAUUUUUAACCAUUCAUUUUAAAUUCUUGCAGAUAACUCCAGCCCAUGAUCCAAAUGAUUUUGAGGUUGGGAAGCGUCAUAAUCUUGAGUUCAUCAACAUUUUCACCGAUGAUGGGAAAAUAAAUAGCAAUGGUGGUCCAGAGUUUGCAGGGAUGCCACGUUUCAAAGCCCGUGAGGCUGUGGUUGCAGCAUUACACGAAAAGGUAUUGGUACUGCAUAUAUCUGUCCUGUUCUAGUUGCUGGGGCACUGUAGCUUAACUUAUACAUAGUAUCCAAGUGAUUUAUGAGGAAUUGGGUUAUUCUUGAGGGUUAAUUAUUAUCACUUUAGAUGCAUCAACCUUAUUAGCAUCCUCUAUCCCCUCCCAUACAAAUUCAUUUUAAACUCUCUCAAUGGUCUUCAUCACUGCUGUAGGCAUUGUAAAAAUGGACAUGAGAUAUAUGAGUAUGGCGGUUAUAGAAGACCAAGUAAAUCUUUUUUCCGAUUUGACCGAUGCGCUUCUUCCUAACCUCCUGGGUGUAGCUUAGCAGUAGUGACCUUUGGAAAAGAACCAGAGGUCCAGAGUUUGAGCUUCCCCAGUAAUUUAAGUGGUGUAGGGCCAUAUUAUCUGAGGUUUUAUCUGCUGGCAGUUGGCAUAAAUGCCUUGCUGUCGCAGUGAAGUUCCUGUCAUUUGAUAUAUUAUUUAUUUAUUUAUGCUUGCUGAAGUAACUUUUGUUUAGAUGUUCAGAAUAAUUAGGCAAAGUUUCAAAUUUUUCUUCCUCAACUGAGGUGAAAAAUUUUCCUAUCAAAGUUAUACUUCCAGUCACUAUCUGAAGGUCAUAGCUAAGGUUCAACAAUUGUAAGUUACUUGCAUCUGUCAAAUCCUCUAUGGGGCCUACCAAUCCAUAACUUUUUCAAAAACCUUCCAGUAGUGAAUUAAAAAUGAGCUAAGAAAUUUGCAUAAAAUAAAAGUAUUCUAGGACUAUAGAUAUCCAGGUUUCAUGUUAUACAGCAAUAUAAAUGAAUGUAGCAAAUCUUUAGUCUCCAAUUUAAUAAAUGGCCACUUGGCAGUGUAAUGCUGAUGCUACUUGAUAACUUCCUUUUCAAUAUGCACUACAUCCUUGGUAAAGCUCUAAAGCUGAAUUGCGUAUUCAAUAUUUAGUACCAUGCUUUCUAAGUUAUUUACAGGAAAACCAACAAAUGGUAAGCAAGCUAUGUUCUUAGCUUGGUGUAUGAUAAAAGAACCUCUGUGAAAGGAAAUGACAACUCUGGGAUAUGUAGGAGCAAUGUAAACCUGUGAGCUGCAUAGAAAUAGGAUGCUGAAGCAUCCAAGGAAACAUGCUGAGAAAUCUUCAAUGCUUCAAGGACCUUCAUGAAUAAAGAUGUAUUAAGACAAGGAAUUUGAGGACAUUCGAAAUAUUGAAAGCCGCUAGGGCUUGAUUCAGAGGGCAACAAUCUAAAAAAGGUUUUAAAUGAAGCUCUAGAUUUAGAAAAAGGUAAGAGGAGCUGCAAAUGGCAGAGCUCAGAGAAAAAUAUUUUUCUUCUUUAAAUGGGUAACUAAUUGUCUAAGAAAAUAGGCUAUCAUUUUGCUUCAAAUACCCCAUAUUACUUGAUGCAGCACCACCUUCCAGAUGUGUUCUGGUCUUACCCCCUUCUUUUAAUUCACCAACAAGCAAAGAUGUCCUUCUCUGUUUUUGGAAAGACUCAAGAACUUGCACCAGAGAAAAGAAAAUGCAUCAAGCACCCAAUGUACAUCAUAAUGGAUUAAAAGGUGAUUGAUAGGUUCUUCUCAUGCAGAGACAAUAUCUAUUAUAACAUCUAUUAGAUUGUUCCACUUCCUACCAAUGAAGUGAUCAUCCAUUGAACAUUUGUCUCUAGCAAGCACCAAAGCUGCUUCCAGAGGGGCACAAGACUCCCAAAGCUAUUUUAUCUGAAAAAUUUUAAUCUCUAAGUUUCUGCCAGAAAUAAAAAUGUUGAAAUUAAAUGCAAAAUCUAUAAGCUCCAAGAAAUGAAAAAAUGUUAUUCUAUAAACUCUUGUAACACAUUAAAAUCUUAUCAACUUAUUAGUUCAUCUUUCUUGAAAAUCAUAACUAUAAAUAGAUUGAGUUUUAAACUUCAAAUCAUAAGUUCAGGAAAUAGAAUGAAUGCUGCAGGUGAAAUAUGCAGUCAGGAUGUGUAAUCCAAACGAUGAUAUUUUCUCUUUUCUGUAGGUAAUUGAGUUAUUCCUUGUGCAUCACUGCAUAAGCUCAAAAUGGUAGAAAUAGAAGAAGUUUUCCCACCUACUUAUAAUUCUUACAAGCUAUUGAACAUCUUUUUGGCAUAUUUUCACUGUUUAUGGCUCAAAUUUUGUGGCAAUAUUUAUUGAAAAAUUAUGACUGACAAUGUCAUGUUCUGUUUGAUCAGUACAGUUAUUUCUUUCCAUUCUUUCUCCAAUAGUGGGAAUCAUAUAGAAUUUCUCUAUUAUGCUUCAUUUACAAAAUCAAAUUCCAAUGUCCUAAAUCAAGCCUUAUUUGCUGCCUUUUUUUGUGGUUUUUUCCAGGUUGUGUAUUAGCUCUUAUCUUUCCAAGACAUUCAUCUUUUCUACCCCUUUUUCCAUGUUUCUUAGGACAGCCUUUAUGUGCUAAUUACUAUCUGAAGUACGUCAUUUUACUCCACCAUAUGAGCGUUGCAUACACUUAUGUUCUUAUGACAGUGGUGGCAAUUUGUGACUAGAAAAUAUAGCAUUUUACUGAGCAUUCUGUUGUACAGGGUUUAAUACCAAUUGUUCCCGCUUCAUUCUUCUAUAUGUCCUACCAUAAAUUUAUAUCGUAUUUCCAAUAACUUUAUUGGCUGAAUGCUCUUUGCAUUUAGGGACUCUAUAAAGGCGCAAAAGAUAAUGAGAUGCGUCUAGGCCUUUGUUCAAGGACCAAGGAUGUUGUGGAGCCACUGAUAAAGCCUCAGUGGUAUGUUAGUUGCAGUGGAAUUGCCAAUGAAGCUCUUGAUGCUGUUAUGGAUGAUGAGAAUAGGAAAAUUGAGAUUAUUCCAAAGCAGUAUGCUGCUGACUGGAAAAGGUAUCUUCAUUUGCAAUCUUACUGUUGAAUAUAAUGUAUGUAUAGUAUACUAUUUUUCCUUGUUAAUAUAGGUCACAUGUAUGGUAGUUAGGACUCCUAGCCUUGUAUAUAUAUAUCUCUUAAUUGUAAGUAGAGAUUACAAUGAAUGUGAAUAAGGUUUUUCUCCUUUCUCUCUCUCUCUCUCAACAUGGUAUCAGAGCCAAGGAAGAAAACCUAAUUCUUUCCUGUUUUCCGUGUCAUCAACUCCGGGAAACCUUCCGGUGACCGUGUUUCUUUCCGGUCACCUUCCCCAUCUCCCAAUACUUUCCGGUCAGUCGGAUCGUCGUUAGAAACCAUUCACCGCUGGCAAAUUUUCCGGCGAACUUUCCGGCGAAUUUUUCUGGUGACCUAUUUUUCCGACACCGACCAUACCAGAAGGAGCGCCUGGAGGAGAUCUCCAACUUUUGUGAAGGCACCAGCACCAAAAGAGCAGCCACGCGCCGGCCACGCGCAAUUUUCCGGCCGACGGUUGAAUCUCACGCGCCGGCGCGUGGGGGCGCGUGAGAGCUUUUCCGGCGACGCGCCUCCUCCUCCAGCUUCGCCUGACGCCGAUCAGCCUUCCCACCUCCCUGGUUCUCCCAUCCGAGCCCUGCACGUACCUCUUUUGGGGAUUUUUGUCUCUGUCGGCCCUCCAAACAGUCUUUCCGGCGAAGCUCCGACCACUUUUUCUCCACUCCAAUCCCUGCACGUGCCUUGGGAAGUGUUCUUCUCCCUUUCUGGUGGUACCACACCGCGAUCUGAGGCCGUCUCCCUUUUUCGGUGGUGCCACGCUGCAAUCUGAAGCCGUAUUAGGGCUCUCUUCGAUCCAAACAUACUUCAUUCUCCAGAUAAGUGGAUAUGGCUACUAAAGCUUCCAUUUUUUCCUCUGUCAUAUCUGGAUCUCCUAUGAUUACUUCGGAGAAAUUAGUUGGGAGUGAAAAUUAUCUUUCCUGGUCUGCCUCUGUUGAACUUUGGUUUAUGGGUCAAGGAUAUGAGGAUCACUUGAUUACACAGGAGGCAGAUAUCCCUGAGGUCGACCGCGUAUAGUGGAGGAAGAUAGAUGCACAGUUGUGUAGUGUAUUAUGGCAAUCGGUUGAUCCCCGAAUUCUUCUUCAUCUUCAGGCCUAUAAAACUUGUUUUAAAUUUUGGACUCAGGCCAAAGGAUUAUACACGAAUGAUAUCCAGCGUCUUUAUAAGGUGGCUUCUGCUAUUGUCCAUCUCAGCCAACAGGACUUGGAUCUAUCUACUUAUAUUGGCCAGAUUGCCUCUCUUAAGGAGCAGUUCUUGACUGUGAUGCCUCUUACUCCUGAUGUUGGGGCUCAACAAACACAGCUUGACAAGUUCUUCAUGGUCCUUACUCUUAUCGGCCUCCGUCCGGAUCUUGAGCCUAUUCGUGAUCAGAUUCUUGGUAGUUCAUCAGUUCCGACCUUGGAUGAUGUGUUUGCUCGCCUCCUCCGUAUCUCGUCCACUCAGACUUUGCCAUCUGAUAGCGCUUCAGAUUCUUCUGUGUUAGUUUCUCAAACUACCUCUCGAGGAGGACGUAGUGGUACUCGAGGUAGAGGCCAACGUCCUCAUUGCACCUAUUGCAAUAAACUUGGCCACACUCGCGAUCGUUGCUAUCAGUUACAUGGAAGACCUCCUCGCACUGCCCAUAUGGCCCAGUCCUCUGAUUCUCCGCUGCCUCAGCCUCCGAGCUCCUCCGCAUCUCAGACAUCUCAGGCUUCUAUUGCCUCUGUUGCCCAGCCUGGUAAUGCCUCUGCCUGCCUUACCCACACAUCUUCUCUUGGACCCUGGAUUCUAGAUUCUGGAGCAUCUGAUCACCUAUCUGGUAAUAAGGAUCUUUUCUCCUCUAUUACUACUACCUCUGAUUUACCUACUGUUACCUUAGCUAAUGGUUCUCAAACUGUGGCUAAAGGUAUUGGUUUGACCCUUCCUUUGCCUUCUCUACCUCUCACUUCUGUCCUUUAUACUCCUGAAUGUCCUUUUAAUCUUAUUUCCAUCAGCAAAAUCACUCGUACUCUUAAUUGCUCUAUUACCUUUUCUGAUAAAUUUAUGACCUUGCAGGACCGGAGUACGGGGAAGACGAUUGGCAUAGGACGUGAGUCUCAAGGCCUCUAUCACCUCACCUCAGAUUCAUCUCCUGCAGUUUGCAUUUCCACUGAUGCUCCUCUCCUCAUUCACAAUCGUCUGGGCCACCCUAGUCUCUCCAAGUUCCAGAAGAUGGUUCCUCGUUUUUCCACUUUGUCGUCGCUUCCGUGUGAGUCAUGUCAGCUUGGGAAACAUACUCGUGUCUCGUUCCCAAAGCGUUUGAAUAAUCGGGCAAAGUCUCCUUUUGAGCUUGUCCACACUGAUGUUUGGGGUCCUUGUCGGACUGCGUCUACUUUAGGAUUUCAGUAUUUUGUCACUUUCAUUGAUGACUAUUCUCGAUGUACUUGGUUAUUCUUAAUGAAAAAUCGAGCUGAGUUAUUCUCUAUUUUCCAGAAAUUUUAUACUGAAAUCCAAACCCAGUUCAAUAUUUCUAUUCGUGUGUUACGCAGUGACAAUGCCAGGGAAUAUUUUUCAGCCCAAUUUACUUCGUUUAUGUCUCAUCAUGGGAUUCUUCAUCAGUCUUCUUGUGCUCAUACUCCUCAACAAAAUGGGGUAGCUGAACGCAAGAAUCGACAUCUUGUUGAGACAGCUCGUACUCUCCUCCUCCAUAAUCAUGUUCCUUUUCGUUUUUGGGGGGACGCUGUUCUUACCGCUUGUUAUUUGAUUAAUCGUAUGCCCUCCUCUGUCUUACACGAUCAGAUUCCUCACUCCCUUCUUUUCCCUGACCAACCACUUUAUUUCCUUCCUCCUCGUGUCUUUGGUUGUACUUGCUUUGUUCAUAUUCUCACUCCUGGACAGGACAAGCUUUCCGCCAAAGCCAUGAAGUGCCUCUUCUUGGGAUAUUCCAGACUUCAGAAGGGUUAUCGUUGUUAUUCCCUUGAGACUCAUCGGUACUUUAUCUCCGCUGAUGUCACCUUCUUUGAGGACUCACCAUUCUUUUCCACCACCUCUGAGUCUCUUCCUGUUUCUGAAGUCUUGCCCAUUCCCAUUGUCUCCCCACCUGAUGCUAUGCCCCCUCGACCACUUCAGGUUUAUCAUCGUCGCCCUCGUGUCGUUGCUCCUCUCCCUUUUCCUGAGGCACCUGCUGACUCACUUCCUAUCCCUUCGGCUUCACUUGCCCCGGCUCUGCCUUCUCCUAAUGACUUACCCAUUGCUGUUCGGAAAGGUACUCGCUCUACUCGUAAUCCUCAUCCUAUUUACAAUUUUUUGAGUUAUCAUCGAUUAUCUUCACCCUAUUCUGCUUUUGUUUCUGCUAUAUCCUCUGUUUCUCUUCCAAAGAGCACCCAUGAAGCUUUUUCCCAUCCAGGCUGGCGAUAGGCAAUGGUGGAUGAAAUGGCUGCUCUGCACUCUAAUGACACUUGGGAUCUUGUUGUUUUACCCUCUGGUAAAUCUACAGGGUGUUGUCGUUGGGUCUAUGCAGUUAAGGUUGGUCCUGAUGGUCAGGUUGAUCGCCUUAAGGCCCGCUUAGUUGCUAAAGGCUAUACUCAAGUUUAUGGUUCUGAUUAUGGUGACACAUUCUCCCCUGUUGCCAAGAUUGCUUCUGUCCGCUUGCUUCUGUCCAUGGCUGCUAUGUGUUCUUGGCCUCUUUAUCAGUUGGAUAUUAAAAAUGCCUUCCUUCAUGGUGAUCUUGCUGAGAAAGUUUAUAUGGAGCAACCUCCUGGUUUUGUUGCUCAGGGGGAGUCUGGUUUAGUGUGCAGGUUACGCCGCUCUCUAUAUGGCUUGAAACAAUCUCCUCGAGCAUGGUUUAGCCGUUUUAGUUCUGUUGUUCAAGAGUUUGGCAUGCUUCGCAGUACAGCAGACCAUUCAGUUUUUUAUCAUCAUAACUCCUUGGGGCAGUGUAUUUAUCUGGUUGUUUAUGUGGACGACAUCGUCAUUACAGGCAGUGAUCAGGAUGGUAUUCAGAAACUAAAGCAACAUCUUUUUACCCACUUUCAGACCAAAGACUUGGGGAAACUCAAGUAUUUCUUGGGAAUUGAGAUAGCUCAAUCCAGUUCUGGUGUGGUCCUUUCCCAAAGGAAGUAUGCUUUAGACAUCCUGGAAGAAACCGGUAUGUUAGACUGUAAACCGGUAGACACACCUAUGGAUCCGAAUGUCAAACUUGUACCAGGACAGGGGGAGCCUUUAGGAGACCCCGGGAGAUAUCGACGGCUCGUAGGUAAAUUGAACUAUCUCACCAUUACUCGUCCAGACAUUUCUUUUCCUGUGAGUGUUGUUAGUCAAUUCCUACAGUCACCAUGUGAUAGCCAUUGGGAUGCCGUAAUCCGUAUUCUUCGAUAUAUCAAAAGUACACCAGGCCAAGGUGUAUUGUACGAGAACAGAGGUCAUACUCAAGUUGUUGGUUACACAGAUGCAGAUUGGGCUGGCUCACCCACAGAUAGACGUUCCACUUCAGGGUACUGUGUUUUUAUUGGAGGUAAUCUAAUAUCUUGGAAGAGUAAGAAACAAGAUGUAGUGGCCAGAUCUAGCGCUGAAGCCGAGUAUCGAGCUAUGGCUUUGGCAACAUGUGAACUCAUAUGGUUGAGACAUCUUCUUCAGGAGUUGAGAUUUGGAAAGGAUGAACAGAUGAAACUCAUCUGUGAUAACCAGGCCGCAUUACAUAUUGCAUCCAAUCCAGUCUUUCAUGAAAGGACCAAGCAUAUUGAAGUUGACUGUCAUUUCAUUAGAGAGAAGAUCGCAUCAGGAUGUGUUGCUACAAGUUUUGUCAAUUCAAAUGAUCAACUAGCAGACAUCUUCACUAAAUCUCUCAGAGGUCCUAGGAUUAAAUAUAUUUGUAACAAGCUUGGUGCAUAUGACGUAUAUGCUCCAGCUUGAGGGAGAGUGUUGAAUAUAAUGUAUGUAUAGUAUACUAUCUUUCCUUGUUAAUAUAGGUCACAUGUAUGGUAGUUAGGACUCCUAGCCUUGUAUAUAUAUAUCUCUCAAUUGUAAGUAGAGAUUACAAUGAAUGUGAAUAAGGUUUUUCUCCUUUCUCUCUCUCUCUCUCAACACUUACCAUCUUCUAAGUUCUUAAUGUUAAACUGUAGUGGCUAAUGAAAUUAAGACAUGAGGAGUUAAUUUCCUCCUGCUUUAAACAAUGUUCAAGAUCUGACUAUGGUUUCUGGCUCUAUCAAACUUAUACCUUAGGAUCCUAAAAUGAUGUAAUGCUGUGAGCCUAUGAUCCUUCUUCUAAUGUAGAAAGCUAGAUUGGAUAUCAGUUCUCAUUAAUUUGAAGGAAGGUGACUGGUUUUUUUUCCUAAUGCUGUGAGCCUAUGAUCCUUCCUCUAAAGUAUAACAAUAUGGCAAAAUUAGUUAUGCAGAAAGCUAGAUUGGAUAUCGUUCUCUUUAAUUUGAAUGAAGGUGACUAGGUUUUUUUUUCCUUCUGUGGAGUCAUUUUGUGUGCAUAUUCUGAACUCAUGAGUCCUUCAUGCCUUUCUAUUUUCAGUUGACUAUUUAUCUGCCACAUUUUAACUGCUGUCCAAAAGCUGAUUAUCACUAAAUUAUGGAUUUCAAAUGUCACAGAUGGCUUGAGAACAUUCGAGAUUGGUGCGUCUCAAGGCAACUUUGGUGGGGCCACCGCAUUCCUGCAUGGUAUGUGACAUUGGAGGAUGACAAAAUGAAGGAACUUGGUGCAUACACUGACCACUGGGUGGUUGCUAGAAAUGAGGAAGAGGCUCAAAUUGAGGCUAGCAGAAUGUUUCCUGGGAAGAACUUUCAGAUAUCUCAAGAUCCUGAUGUACUGGACACAUGGUUUUCUUCUGGUCUCUUCCCAUUAACUGUGUUGGGCUGGCCAGAUGAUACACAAGAUUUGAAGGCAUUUUAUCCAACUUCAGUUCUGGAAACUGGGCAUGACAUUCUCUUUUUCUGGGUUGCUCGGAUGGUGAUGUUAGGUAUUAAGCUGGGAGGUGAUGUGCCUUUUAGAAAGGUGAGUGAACUUUGCUAUCAUCUAUGAUUAGCCAAAUUGUGGAAACUUGUUAGUUGUGAUUGGGUUGCUUGUGGGGCUUCUGGUACUUCAUCUGUGUGAGUUAUGGUAGGGAGUUUCAAAUCAUGCCCCAUGUUAUGAUGGAGAAUUUCAAAUAAUGCAAAUAGCCUAGGCUCUUUAUUGCAGUCUCCUAAUAGUACCUCUUGGUGCUAUCUGCCAUGGGUCAGUGACAGAUGUAUCUUUCCCUUGAUACACUUCCCUCCCCUAAAAAAUAUGCAUUAAUUGGAAAUCACAUUGAAACAAUUUUUGUGCAGUCCUGUCAUAUGUGGGGUCACGGGUACAAUAGCAGUUGAGGUGCAGUAGGAAAAUAAGAAAAAAUUGUACUCUACUUUAAAUGAUUAAUUUAUGUGUGCAAAUUUCUAUUAAAUUAGUCUAAGCAAAUCCAUGGAUGUACAUGAACUUUCUGCAGGUUUAUUUGCAUCCCAUGAUUCGUGAUGCACAUGGGCGUAAGAUGUCUAAGUCGUUGGGAAAUGUUAUUGACCCUCUUGAAGUGAUAAAUGGGAUAUCCCUUGAAGGUCUUCACAAGAGGUUGGAAGAGGGUAACUUGGAUCCCAGUGAACUGGUAGUUGCCAAAGAGGGACAGGUGAAGGACUUCCCUAAUGGUAUUGCUGAAUGUGGUGCAGAUGCUCUUCGUUUUGCUCUUGUGACUUAUACAGCACAGGUUUGUACGUCUACCAAUCUAUUUAUCUCCUAUUUGGUUUUGUUUCCUUGAUAUAUCAAUUUUGUAACCUUGCAUCAUCUGAUCAUUCCAGUCUGAUAGAAUAAAUUUGGAUAUCCAAAGAGUUGUUGGGUAUCGCCAAUGGUGUAAUAAACUGUGGAAUGCUAUACGAUUUGCUAUGAGCAAGCUUGGAGAUGAUUACACCCCACCGAUGGAAAUAGUUCCAGAUGUUAUGCCAUUUACCUGCCAAUGGAUACUCUCUGUACUGAACAAGGCUAUAUCAAAAACAGUGUCAUCAAUGGAUUCAUAUGAAUUUGCGGAUGCUGCCAGCACAGUAUAUUCAUGGUGGCAGUUCCAAUUGUGUGAUGUAUUCAUUGAAGUAGUUAAACCUUUCUUCUCUAGUAAUGAUCCUAAAUUUGCAUCUGCGAGGAGGUUUGCCCAAGAUACACUGUGGGUAUGUUUGGACAAUGGGCUGCGGUUGCUUCAUCCAUUUAUGCCAUUUGUUACAGAAGAAUUGUGGCAGCGCCUUCCUCCAGCAAGAGAUUGUGCUAGGAAAGAAUCAAUUGUGAUAUCCGACUACCCAUCAGUUGUACAGGUUAGUUACUAUUUUUUAAUUGAAAGUGUCCAAGACACAAAGUGGUAGAAAAUGAGAUGGUUUACCUGGAGGUGGAGACACUAUUUGAUGAUUCUUGACAUAGGGGAUCUGUUUAAUAGGAAUUUAUAUACCAGCUAGCAUUAUUCAUCAUUAUCAGUAGGGAUCAGUUCAGAUGCAUCAGAUGAUACCCAAACCAAGCAAAAAGUAAAUUAUCACAUGAAUUGUUUCACUGGACUAUACUUUAACAUAAUGUGAUACUUUUAAAUUGAUACAUACAAGCUAAUAGAUAAUUCAUAUGCCUUCACAGGAAAGUACAUUAUGAUGCAUUUAGUUAUUUUUAUCUGAUUGUACUACAAUUACCUGCAAUAUUGUCCCCUGCCGAAAGAAAAAGUAGUGUCCAACAUUAGUUAUUCCCUAGGCUUCACAUUUGUUUAGUUAAGUUGCAAUAUUUUUAUCCAAUUUUUUGUUGUCUUUUUGCUAGUUUUACUUUUAUCCUUUUCUUUUUGGGUUUUUAUUUUUUAUUUUUUAAAAUUUAAUUUUCUCUUCAUUUUUUAUAUAAAAUUUUUCACUUUCAUUUUAGUGGGGUGCAUGCCAAGUGUUAAGAGGUUUUAAAAUUCUAGCUGAAGGCAAAUUUUACUUCUAAUUUGCUUAAACUCUGUUGAUAUCUCAUUUUCUUUUACAGUGUUGGACAAAUGAAAGAGUAGAGUAUGAGAUGGACCUCGUGGAGUCUACUGUGAAAUCACUUAGGUCUCUCAGGUCUUUGAUGCCUGCUAAGGAACGGCAUGAAAGGUAAAUAUUUGAAUUCACUUGGGCUAUUGUCUGUGUUUCUUGCAACAUUUGAUCUGUAUCGUUUUCUUUUCAUUUCUUCUAGUAUUUUCUGCCAGGAAAGUACUACAAUCAAUUUCCGUGAAUUGAAAUCUUGUUGUAAUUGUGGUGUGCUAAUGCUGAAACUGAUUCUGAUUUUCAAGUUCUUUUGGGAUCUUUCUUAUAAUUUGUCAAAAAUUAUAUAACAAAUACAUUUUCAUGUUCUUUUUCAGUUAACUCUAAAAUUUAAUGAACAAAAAAUAUUUGACUCAUGCUGCUCAUAAAUACUAUAAGAGUAAAAUGUCACAUAAUUGCAUGAUGUAGUCGCAAAGGGAGCAAAAGAUUGUUGAGUGAGUGAUUGGUGAUAAGAUAUGUUCCAUGAAUAGAAAAUUGACAUAUUUCCAUAAAGAAAAUUGACAGAUGUUUUGAUGUCCUCAGUUCUAGGUGAAAAUAUACAAAGAUAAUUUGAAGUAACACAAUUAGCGAUGCACGUUAUUGGUUCUGUUUGUAGAUUGCCUCAAAGACAAUCUUGUUCAAUGUUGUAUGUUGGCUAAAGAGAUUGACUAUUUAGAAUUUUUUGAUAAGAAGCAAGAUUUAUUAAUCAUAUCAAGGGAAAUGUACAAGGAAGAACCAAAGAUCUCUCACAAUUAAAAGAGAAGGGGAAAAAAAAAAUUGAACCAAGUGUGAACCAUCUCCUUCUCUUUAACCAUUCAAGGAGGAUAGUGAUUCCCUAUGAAUGCCUCUAGAAAUGUUUCUCCCAUCUUUGCCCACCAGGUGCCUAGAGAUAUCAAGAAUUCUCCUCCUCUGGUGAUCUAACACCAUGGAACCCACUUCCCAUUGCAGCCUGAAAGAUAACAACUAAGGAGCUAUCAUUCAACAAUAAAUUUCAUAACCCUAGAGGAACAUAAUUCUUUUCAGCCCUCUAACAAUGAUAGAAUGAUUGCAGGAAGCCUGAAAUUUAUGGCUGUUCAAAAGAGGAUAUUUGGGGUUGAGGGGUUUCACUUGUUUCUUUUGUUUUCUUUUGGCAUUUUCUGUAUAUUUAUUGUGUACCUAGGUUCCUCCCCACCCUCUCUUUUUGUUAUAUGCUUUUAAUAAGUUAUUUUCUUUGCUUAUCAAAAUAAUAAUAACAAUAAUAAAAGAGCUUGGAGAACCCUGUUAAUAUAUCCUCUAAUUCCUAUCUGACCCUGCAUGGUGGGGUUGGAUAGUGGUAGUGGUGUCGUUGUUGGGUUCCAAUUCAGCAUUUACCUAUGAUUCUACUAGUAGACAAUCCCCCAAUCUAUAGCAAUAAUAUUGAAGGGAUGCUGACAGAUUCCUUGGUGGAAUACACAAGGGAAAUUGGUUGACAGAUUCUGUCCCUUGUAUCACUGUCCCUUGCUUACACGUUCUAACCUUUACAUUCCUUCCAACCAUAUCGCAUAGUGGUUAGCUUGGUGUACUUCCAUGGUUCCUUACUCAUUUUCUCCUAUCAAAUUGCUCUGACAAAAAAAUUAUCAUGUUCUCUUAUUUAGAGCCCCAUUCCAUGGGAUCCUUGCCAUGGGACUUGUAAAAGAUUGAACAACAUCAGAAGAAAUGGUCGGCUGAUAUCCCACUUGCCAUAUCCAUCUAGGCUAAUGGCUUUAUAAUUUCUCCUACCUUGGAACAUGUCAUUGACAUUAACCUUCUUAUGAGCUACUAACCAUUAAAAAGCUUUGAUGAUAGUGUGGGAAGGGAUCAUUUGCUUUUCAUAUGUAUCUGGUUGGAAGGAGUGUGCCAAUAUUUUCACUCUUGGAGAGGCUAUUAGAAGGAUUUAAAAGCGAAAAAUGUUCCUGGUAUCUAAACUCCAACAUCUCUUAUUGAAAGAAAAUCAGGCAAAUAAACAUCUUAAAAGGAUGAUAACAGAAAAGGAAGGUUGUUCUACUCAAGAGCACAAGAUUUCAACAGAAGUUGAAAAUCUGAGAUGGUGGAUGAUAACAGAAAAGGAAGGUUGUUCUACUCAAGAGCACGAGAUUUAAACAGAAGUUGAAAAUCUGAAAUGGUGAGUGAUGUAGAAUGAUAGAGAGAAUAAUAUAGAGUGAAAUAGAAACAGAAGAGUGAUUCUCCAAGAAAAUUUCGAAUAUUAUCAAAGUUUAGUUUUUAUCUCACUAGAGCUAUAUAGAGAUAAGCAAUCUUAACUCAAGUAGGAAACUAAUUCUAAUAAUAAUAUAAAGAAUUUUUACUAUAAUAAAACAAUACACUAAAUAAUAACCACCCUAAAAUAAAUAACGGAAUAAAAACAUUAUCCCUUCCAUUAUUUAUGUCUAACAUUAGUGUGUAAUUUAACAUCUUUAUCUCCAUCAUUUUCACCUUAUUGAAAAGAAUUCGACUUUGGUGAGUUAUAUUGCAUAUAUUGCUCCAAAAGAUUAGGAUCGAGUUGAAGGAACUCCUCAUCAGUAAUUCAAGUAUCAUCAGUUGGCAGCAAUGAAGCAUAAGGAGCAUGAGGUACUGAAAUGGAGGAUUGUACUGCACAAAUAGAAGAAGACAAAACUGGCAGCAAUGAAGCAUAAGGAGCAUGAGGUACUGGAAUGGAGGAUUGUACUGCAAAAAUAGAAGAAGACAAAACUGGAGGUUUGAAUAUGCCUCAGGGUAAGGAAAUGAAUCUGUCACCUUGAAAGUUGGAGUAGUCCUAGGGUUUGGUCAAGUACUGACUAUGACUGAUAAAUAGACCUAAGGGCUAGGAUGAAGCUGACAAGAAUUGGCAUGUUGGAAAGGGGCACGCCUCAUGGGGCAAGAAGUAUUUUUUAAUUUCUAUGGCCUUAUGUAAGCUUCCUCUUAAGGAACUAGGAGAAUAUAAACUUACCACACUAAAAAUUUCAGUUCUCAAACUAUUUAUAAACCUAAUAACAGUAACCUAAUAAUCUUGGUAAAUACCACAAUGUAACAUUAGUUUCUCAAAUUAGGCCAUAUACUCACUAACAGAGGAAGUAGUUUGCCUAAGGUUCAAUAAUUGUGCCUAAUAAGUGAUUUCUAUGAGAGGCUGGUAGGUACUUUUAUGUCAGUCUUCGUCUUUUCCUACACACUAAACCUAUACAGUUGAUGUUAGGCAAGACUGAUUGCUAAUAACACUUAGCAAGCCCUACUAAUUCAUCAUAGCAAAAUGAACUCAUGGAAUGGUGGUCAUGCCAUAUGAAUCAAAGUAAUCUUUAACAUUUACUAAUUAAUCAAGAAACAUCUGGGUUUGGCCCAUCAGGAAACUCUGGAGUGUCUUCCUUGAUCUCCUAGUGAUAUCACCUUACCUCAUCUUGGAUAUACUUAGAUUGUUCAUAAUGAUACUAUAGAGGCAAAGGUUUAUAUUGUUGAUAAUGAUAUCUACCCUGAGGCCCCCUGUGCUUAAAGGUAUUCCUAGGGCCUUCAUUGACAAAUUGUGAUCUAGACUCUUUCCAAUCUCCAAUAAUAAUCAUUAGGGCACCAAAAGCUUCAUCAUCGUUAACAUCCUCAUCCUCAUCCUCAUCUACUACUCUUACCAUUUACUAUAUCUUUAUGUAUAGGUGACUUUCUUAGAUGUGUAGGUGGCAAAACCAGUUGGGACUUCUCAAGUCCUCUAUGGUUUACACUCUGGAUUUUUCAAUAAAUGACUUAGGUCCACUGCAAGUUUGGUCACAAUAGCUUUUAGCUAAGCUUGUAGAGUUAUUGCAAUGGGUUUUGUACAUCCCUUUGAAAGGCCAGGUGAGAUUGUUCUAAUUUAGUGACUUUCUUGUUUGGUGAAAAACAAAAAUUGGGAAAAAAUGGAAAUAAGGACAAAGUAUUAAAAAAGGGAUAAUGCUGAGAUAAACUUGUAUUGCUUCAGUUAAUAUCAAGUUACUCUUAGAAUGGAUGCACAUAAUAGGGAUAAAAACUCAAAUAAAGGACUAUGCAAUGACUCUAAAAGAAAGACAAAAGGUGUGGAAUAGAUAUGAAAUAAGUAAAGAUAAAUAAAGGAAAAACUGAAAUAAAUAGCUUAGUUUUUUUUCCCUUCCCUCUAUUUUUUCUCUUUCUUUUUUGAAGGUAAUAGGCAAAAAAGGAAAUAAGAAUAAAUUUAGGAAUCCUAGUGCAUUAAGCACUUAGAAAAACUACCUAAUGAGACUUAAUGGAGGUAUUAAGCACUUAGAUUGGUGCAAGAUUUAGAUGAUGCAAAACAUGUUGCAACAUAAGUGGCAGUAGUUAGUGGUGAGUAUUUCAUGUUGCAAAACACUUCCAUAAAUUGACCUUUGAUAUUAAUUGACGUGGGAUAAUAUAGAGAAAAGAAUACAAAGGAGUGAAAUCGAAGUGGAAGAGAGAAAUUCUAAAAGAAUUAUGAAUAUUAUUUGUUGAAUAUAAUGUAUGUAUAGUAUAUUAUCUUUCCUUGUUAAUAUAGGUCACAUGUAUGGUAGUUAGGACUCCUAGCCUUGUAUAUAUAUAUCUCUCAAUUGUAAGUAGAGAUUACAUGAAUGAGAAUUAAGGUUUUUCUUCUUUCUCUCAUUCUCUCUCAACAUGGUAUCAGAGCCAAGGAAGAAAACCUAAUUCUUUCCUGUUUCUCGUGUCAUCAACUCCGGGAAACCUUCCGGUGACCGUGUUUCUUUCCGGUCACCUUCCCCAUCUCCCAAUACUUUCCGAUCAGUCGGAUCGUCGUUAGAAACCACUCACCGCCGGCGAACUUUCCGGCGACCUAUUUUUCCGACACCGACCAUACCAGAAGGAGCGCCUGAAGGAGAUCUCCAACUUUUGUGAAGGCAUCGGCACCAAAAAGAGCAUCCACGCGUCGUCCACGCUCCAUUUUCCGGACGACGGCUGCAUCUCACGCGCUGGCGCGUGAGGCAUUUUCCGGCGAAACGCCUCCUCCUCCAGUUUCGCCUGACGCUGACCAGCCUCCCUACCUCCCUGGUUCUCCCAUCCGAGCCCUGCACGUACCUCUUUUGGGGAUUUUUGUCUUCGUCGGCCCUCCAAACAGUCUUUCCGGCGAAGCUCCGACUACUUUUUCUCCACUCCAAUCCCUGCACGUGUCUUGGUAAGUGUUCUUCUACCUUUCUGGUGGUACCACGCCGUGAUCUGAGGCCGUCUCCCUUUUUCAGUGGUGCCACGCCGCAAUCUGAAGCCGUAUUAGGGCUCUCUUCGAUCCAAACAUACUUCAUUCUCCAGAUAGGUGGAUAUGGCUACUAAAGCUUCCAUUUUUUCCUCUGUCAUAUCUAGAUCUCCUAUAAUUACUUCGGAGAAAUUAGUUGGCAGUGAAAAUUAUCUUUCCUGGUCUGCCUCUGUUGAACUUUGGUUUAUGGGUCAAGGAUAUGAGGAUCACUUGAUUACACAGGAGGCAGAUAUCCCUGAGGUUGACCGCGUACAGUGGAGGAAGAUAGAUGCACAGUUAUGUAGUGUAUUAUGGCAAUCGGUUGAUCCCAAGAUUCUUCUUCAUCUUCAGGCCUACAAAACUUGUUUUAAAUUUUGGACUCAGGCCAAAGGAUUAUACACAAAUGAUAUCCAGCGUCUUUAUAAGGUGGCUUCUGCUAUUGUCCAUAUCAGCCAACAGGACUUGGAUCUAUCUACUUAUAUUGGCCAAGUUGCCUCUCUUAAGGAGGAGUUCUUGAUUGUGAUGCCUCUUACUCCUGAUGUUGGGGUUCAACAAACACAGCUUGACAAGUUCUUCAUGGUUCUUACUUUUAUUGGCCUCCGUCCGGAUCUUGAGCUUGUCUGCGAUCAGAUUCUUGGUAGUUCAUCAGUUCUGUCCUUGGAUGAUGUGUUUGCUCGCCUCCUCCGUAUCUCCUCCACUCAGACUUUGCCAUUUGAUAGCACUUCAGAUUCUUCUGUAUUAGUUUCUCAAACUAGCUCUCGAGGAGGCCGCAAUGGUACCCGAGGUAGAGGUCAACGUCCUCAUUGCACCUAUUGCAAUAAACUUGGCCACACUCGCGAUCGUUGCUAUCAGUUACAUGGACGGCCUCCUCGCACUGCCCAUGUGGCCCAGUCCUCUGAUUCUCCGCUGCCUCAGCCUCCGAGCUCUUCCGCAUCUCAGGCUUCUGUUGCCUCUGUUGCCCAGCCUGGUAAUGCCUCUGCCUGCCUUACCCACACAUCUUCUCUUGGACCCUGGAUUCUAGAUUCUGGAGCUUCUGAUCACCUAUUUGGUAAUAAGGAUCUUUUCUCCUCUAUUACUACUACCUCUGCUUUACCUACUGUUACCUUAGCUAAUGGUUCUCAAACUGUGGCUAAAGGUAUUGGUUUAGCCCUUCCUCUGCCUUCUCUACCUCUCACUUCUGUCCUUUAUACUCCUGAAUGUCCUUUUAAUCUUAUUUCCAUCAGCAAAAUCACUCGUACUCUUAAUUGCUCUAUUACCUUUUCUGAUAAAUUUAUGACCUUGCAGGACCGGAGUACGGGGAAGACGAUUGGCAUAGGACGUGAGUCUCAAGGCCUCUAUCACCUCACCUCGGAUUCAUCUCCUGCAGUUUGCAUUUCCACUGAUGCUCCUCUCCUCAUUCACAAUCGUCUGGGCCACCCUAGUCUCUCCAAGUUCCAGAAGAUGGUCCCUCGUUUUUCCACUUUAUUGUCGCUUCCGUGUGAGUCAUGUCAACUUGGGAAACAUACUCAUGUCUCGUUCCCAAAGCGUUUGAAUAAUCGGGCAAAAUCUCCUUUUGAGCUUGUCCACACUGAUGUUUAGGGUCCUUGUCGGACUGCGUCUACUUUAGGAUUUCAGUAUUUUGUCACUUUCAUUGAUGACUAUUCUCGAUGUACUUGGUUAUUUUUAAUGAAAAAUCAAGCUGAGUUAUUCUCUAUUUUCUAGAAAUUUUAUGCUGAAAUCCAAACCUAGUUCAAUAUUUCUAUUCGUGUGUUACGCAGUGACAAUGCCAGGGAAUAUUUUUCAGCCCCAUUUACUUCGUUUAUGUCUCAUCAUGGGAUUCUUCAUCAGUCUUCUUGUGCUCAUACUCCUCAACAAAAUGGGGUAGCUGAACGCAAGAAUCGACAUCUUGUUGAGACAACUCGUACUCUCCUCCUUCAUAGUAAUGUUCCUUUUCGUUUUUGGGGGGACGCUGUUCUUACCGCUUGUUAUUUGAUUAAUCGUAUGCCCUCCUCUGUCUUACACGAUCAGAUUCCUCACUCCCUUCUCUUCCUUGACGAACCACUUUAUUUCCUUCCUCCUCGUGUCUUUGGUUGUACUUGCUUUGUUCAUAUUCUCACUCCUGGACAGGACAAGCUUUCCGCCAAAGCCAUGAAGUGCCUCUUCUUGGGAUAUUCCAGACUUCAGAAGGGUUAUCGUUGUUAUUCCCUUGAGACUCAUCGAUACUUUAUCUCCGCUGAUGUCACCUUCUUUGAGGACUCACCAUUCUUUUCCACCACUUCUGAGUCUCUUCCUGUUUCUGAAGUCUUGCCCAUUCCCAUUGUCUCCCCACCUGAUGCUAUGCCCCCUUGACCACUUUAGGUUUAUCAUCGUCGCCCUCGUGUCGUUGCUCCUUUCCCUUUUGCUGAGGCACCUGCUGACUCACUUCCUAUCCCUUCGGCUUCACCUGCCCCGGCUCUGCCUUCUCCUAAUGACUUACCCAUUGCUGUUCGGAAAGGUACUCGCUCUACUCGUAAUCCUCAUCCUAUUUACAAUUUUUUGAGUUAUCAUCGAUUAUCUUCACCCUAUUUUGCUUUUGUUUCUGCUAUAUCCUCUGUUUCUCUUCCAAAGAGCACCCAUGAAGCUCUUUCCCAUCCAGGCUGGCGACAGGCAAUGGUGGAUGAAAUGGCUGCUCUGCACUCUAAUGGCACUUGGGAUCUUGUUGUUUUACCCUUUGGUAAAUCUACAGUUGGUUGUCGUUUGGUCUAUGCAGUUAAGGUUGGUCCUGAUGGUCAGGUUGAUCGCCUUAAGGCCCGCUUAGUUGCUAAAGGCUAUGCUCAGGUUUAUGGUUCUGAUUAUGGUGACACAUUCUCUCCUGUUGCCAAGAUUGCUUCUGUCCGUUUGCUUCUCUCCAUGGCUGCUCUGUGUUCUUGGCCUCUUUGUCAGUUGGAUAUUAAAAAUGCCUUCCUUCAUGGUGAUCUUGCCGAGGAAGUUUAUAUGGAGCAACCUCUUGGUUUUGUUGCUCAGGGGGAGUCUGGUUUAGUGUGCAGGUUACGCCGUUCUCUAUAUGGCUUGAAACAAUCUCCUCGAGCAUGGUUUAGCCGUUUUAGUUCUGUUGUUCAAGAGUUUGGCAUGCUUCGCAGUACAGCAGACCAUUCAGUUUCCUAUCAUCAUAACUCCUUGGGGCAGUGUAUUUAUCUGGUUGUUUAUGUGGACGACAUUGUCAUUACAGGCAGUGAUCAGGAUGGUAUUCAGAAACUAAAGCAACAUCUUUUUACCCACUUUCAGACCAAAGACUUGGGGAAACUCAAGUAUUUCUUGGGAAUUGAGAUAGCUCAAUCCAAUUCUGGUGUGGUCCUUUCCCAAAGGAAGUAUGCUUUAGACAUCCUGGAAGAAACCGGUAUGUUAGACUGUAAACCGGUAGACACACCUAUGGAUCCGAAUGUCAAACUUGUACCNNNNNNNNNNNNNNNNNNNNNNNNNNNNNNNNNNNNNNNNNNNNNNNNNNNNNNNNNNNNNNNNNNNNNNNNNNNNNNNNNNNNNNNNNNNNNNNNNNNNNNNNNNNNNNNNNNNNNNNNNNNNNNNNNNNNNNNNNNNNNNNNNNNNNNNNNNNNNNNNNNNNNNNNNNNNNNNNNNNNNNNNNNNNNNNNNNNNNNNNNNNNNNNNNNNNNNNNAGACUGUAAACCGGUAGACACACCUAUGGAUCCGAAUGUCAAACUUGUACCAGGACAGGGGGAGCCUUUAGGAGACCCCGGGAGAUAUCGACGGCUCGUAGGUAAAUUGAACUAUCUCACCAUUACUCGUCCAGACAUUUCUUUUCCUGUGAGUGUUGUUAGUUAAUUCCUACGGUCACCAUGUGAUAGCCAUUGGGAUGCCGUAAUCCGCAUUCUUCGAUAUAUCAAAAGUACACCAGGCCAAGGUGUAUUGUACGAGAACAGAGGUCAUACUCUGGUUGUUGGUUACACAGAUGCAGAUUGGGCUGGCUCACCCACAGAUAGACGUUCCACUUCAGGGUACUGUGUUUUUAUUGGAGGUAAUCUAAUAUCUUGGAAGAGUAAGAAACAAGAUGUAGUGGCCAGAUCUAGCGCUGAAGCCGAGUAUCGAGCUAUGGCUUUGGCAACAUGUGAACUCAUAUGGUUGAGACAUCUUCUUCGGGAGUUGAGAUUUGGAAAGGAUGAACAGAUGAAACUCAUCUGUGAUAACCAGACCGCAUUACAUAUUGCAUCCAAUCCAGUCUUUCAUGAAAGGACCAAGCAUAUUGAAGUUGACUGUCAUUUCAUUAGAGAGAAAAUCGCAUCAGGAUGUGUUGCUACAAGUUUUGUUAAUUCAAAUGAUCAACUAGCAGACAUCUUCACUAAAUCUCUCAGAGGUCCUAGGAUUAAAUAUAUUUGUAACAAGCUUGGUGCAUAUGACGUAUAUGCUCCAGCUUGAGAGGGAGUGUUGAAUAUAAUGUAUUUNNNNNNNNNNNNNNNNNNNNNNNNNNNNNNNNNNNNNNNNNNNNNNNNNNNNNNNNNNNNNNNNNNNNNNNNNNNNNNNNNNNNNNNNNNNNNNNNNNNNGUCAUACUCUGGUUGUUGGUUACACAGAUGCAGAUUGGGCUGGCUCACCCACAGAUAGACGUUCCACUCAGGGUACUGUGUUUUUAUUGGAGGUAAUCUAAUAUCUUGGAAGAGUAAGAAACAAGAUGUAGUGGCCAGAUCUAGCGCUGAAGCCGAGUAUCGAGCUAUGGCUUUGGCAACAUGUGAACUCAUAUGGUUGAGACAUCUUCUUCGGGAGUUGAGAUUUGGAAAGGAUGAACAGAUGAAACUCAUCUGUGAUAACCAGACCGCAUUACAUAUUGCAUCCAAUCCAGUCUUUCAUGAAAGGACCAAGCAUAUUGAAGUUGACUGUCAUUUCAUUAGAGAGAAAAUCGCAUCAGGAUGUGUUGCUACAAGUUUUGUUAAUUCAAAUGAUCAACUAGCAGACAUCUUCACUAAAUCUCUCAGAGGUCCUAGGAUUAAAUAUAUUUGUAACAAGCUUGGUGCAUAUGACGUAUAUGCUCCAGCUUGAGAGGGAGUGUUGAAUAUAAUGUAUUUAUAGUAUAUUAUAUUUCCUUGUUAAUAUAGGUCACAUGUAUGGUAGUUAGGACUCCUAGCUUUGUAUAUAUAUAUCUCUCAAUUGUAAGUAGAGAUUACAUGAAUGAGAAUUAAGGUUUUUCUUCUUUCUCUCUCUCUCUCUCAACAUUAUUAAUCAAAGUCUAAAGUGUAUAACAUCGCUAUGCCAAUAUAUAGAUAAACAAUUCUAAAUCUAAUAGGAAACCUUUUUUAUAGGCAAUUCUAACUCUCAAAUAAAAAUAUUAUCACUUCCUAUAUUUAUGUCUAACAUAAGUGUGCAAUUUAAUAUCUUUAUCUCCAUUAGGAGGCCAUUAGAGGGAGAAUGGACGUUGUUGAUGAGGAUUCCUUUUGCUUCAGUAAUCUCUAAAGGUGGGGAAAAGUGAUAUUAGGUGGGUUUAUCCCUCCUUUCAAGAAUCAAACCUUAGAUUCAUCGCCUAAAUGGAUCUCAAGUGUCAGCAGAAAGUGUUAUAAUCAUGGAUAGGGCUUCCUAAGGGUAAUGGUGCAAGCUUCUUACAACAUGAUUUGCAUUCAACCUAUUAAUCUGCAAUUGAUCUAAUUGCAACCCGCCAAAAUGGGCCCCUCCCCUGAGGAAAUGCAACCAAUGGUUAAUGAGAGCUCUAUCCUAAGCAACCCGCAUAAAACCUUAAUCCCUCUCUAUGUUAAUUUGACAUACCAACUUAUGCCUAAUCAAAUGGUUUCUACUAAACUCCUAUGAACCUUCUCAAUUUUGGGUGCUAUACUAAUGGUCGUAAUGAAAAUUGAUAGAAAGUAUGUGAUUAUGCAGCACAGGUAUGUUGAUGUAACCAAGGAUUGAAAUAUCGGUUUUUACGGAUAUAUCGGUACUUUGAUUUUACGAAUAUAUCGGAAAUAUCGGAGAAAUAUCGGAGAAAUAUCGUGGAUAUUUUUUCACAAAUAUCAAUAAAGUGAAAAUUAUUUAAAAUUAAUAGAAAUGCUUGAAAAAACUUUAAAAAAUGAUAAAAUAAGUAAAAAUACACAUUUUAAAGUUAUCUUGUAAGUGUAAUUGACAUAUAUAUAAUUAAGAAGAUAUUUUAAACAAAGAUAUAUUGGUAGAUUCGAUAUUUGAAUUUUAAAAAUAAUAUAUAUGAAUUUUGAAAGUAUAUAGAGUUAGAAUUAAAUUAAAAAAUAUUUGAUUUUAUUGAAUAAAAACAAUUUAUACAUAAAUAUAAUACAUAUGAUAUUACAAUAGUCCUUAUACUAAGGAAGAGAUCGAUGUGAUUUCAUUAUAUUGUUAGAUGAAGAUGACCCAAUUUGCUGAAGAUAAUGUUUAUUUAAAAAAUUUUAAAAUAUUUUUAUUAAAACAUGUUUUAUUAUAUUUUAAAUGAAAAUUAAAUUAAUUUAUAUAAAUAUUUUAUUUGAGAUUUAAUUUUUAAAAUUUUAUUAAAAACAUAUAGUAACAACUUUUUUUUAUUAAUAUUAAUUUAUUUAAUAAUCAAAAUAAAAUUCAAUAAUUUAUAAUUAUUUAUAUGGGUAGAGGAAAAUUGCUCUCAUGAUUAUUAUUAUUAUUAUUAUUUUUUUUUAUUUUUUUUUUUUUUACCUCUACUAAAUCUAAAAAUUAAAAGGGCCACCCACGUCUGAAGUUGCCCUCCAGCCGAGAGAAUUCCCCUUUCCCCUUUUCUGAAGCUGCCCUCCAGCCAAGAGAGUUCCUCUUCCUAAAAAGACCUAUCUUCCUCUGCCACUCUCAAUCCUCGCAGGUACUAAUCUAAUCACGUUCAUAUUAUUUUUUUUGCAACCCCCGUUUGAUUCCCAAGAAAAUCCAUCCCCCAUUUGAUUUCCGGGAAAAUUCAUUCUCGUUUGAUUUCCGAGAAAAUCCAUCCAUUCAAAACCCCCAAAGAAAACCAAAAAAUUUGCUUUUCUUUUGCUCCCUGUGUUUUCUGGAUCUAUUUUAAGGGUCUCUUUGUUGUUGUGCCAUUGGAUUUAAAUUUCACGAACCCUAAAUCCACGAUUUUUGAGCCAGAUUUUGUAUCCUGUGCGCGGGCUGGACUGGUAGGAAAAUAUAGGGAAAUUUCCCGAUAAAUCGGUAUUUCGCCGAUAUUUCGCCGAUAUAUCGGCGAUUUUGCCGAUUUUUUGUCGAUUUUUCCGUCGAUCGAUAAUCGGUGACGAUUAUCGUUUCGACGCCGUCCGAUAUCCGAUAUUUCUUCGAAAUAUCGGCGACAUUUUCCGAUUUUUCAAUCCCUAGAUGUAACCAUACUUGUACUCUUUAAGUAGAGAUGGUUUGAGACCUUUUCAAUAAUUCCCAGAAUACCCGACCCUAAGGUCUUCUCCAAGUGGGAAUCCUAGGGAUUUCAAAGGUACUUAUUUUCAUAUCUUAUCGCUUAGGUUAAUCUAGCAAGGUCAUACUGAUAAACCUUUGCCCCAGGCAAAGCAUUCCUGAUAUCUCUCUCUCUCUCUCUCUCUCUCUCUAUAUAUAUAUAUAUCUAUAGGUGAUUGGCAAUAAAGAUUUUAUUGGAAAGUGCCUAACAAAAGGGGGCACCUCCUAUGAUAUGAGAAUGCAUUUGAUGCCAAAGGUGCCAACAAUCCUUAAACAGCUAAAACAGUUAACUAAAUCCAUAAAAAAAUUAAAAGCUACAAUCUAGCACCAACCUUGACCCAGGCAAAGCAUUCUUGAGUAAGUUGACCAUAUAGAAUGUGAACAGAAUGUAUGCCAAAAUUCAAUAAAAUAUAUGUACAUUUAACUGUUUUCCAAUUAUAUAUAAAUAGUAGUAGUUUUAGGUUUUAUGUUUCUGUCAUUAAAAUUAACAGACCAAUUCAAGGACUUCAACAACUAAGAAGUUGUGCUGAUUCUUUUCUGGUCGUCCUUUUGCUUGUGUUUAGUUCUUAUUUUCCUUAUAUUUCUCUUAUUUUCGUGUUAUUUCUCAGCAGAUAUUUUUGAGUCCCUUGGCAUGUUUUGUGCAAUCCAACUCUUUUGCGUGAGUGUGUAUUAAUUUGAUUAAUCAUUAAAAAGGGGCUUGUUGGAAAAUAAAUUAUAAAUCUUCUCUGAAAAUCUUUGAAGGCACAGUUACAAAAAGAUACAUGUAUCCAUGAGGAGCAUUAAUUAGCACAUUAGAAUGUUAUUAUUCCUUUUACUUUUUUGGCUUGGAUAAUUAUAGGAUUUUCAAUUGGGACUCAUUAGAUAGCAUGAAGGUGGUUAUUUCAUUGGAAAUUUAUGUAUGAGAUUCUAAUAGUUGUGGUGGGCAUAUUUACAUCAUUCUUUAGGCGACCAGCUUAUGUGCUUUGCCGGACGGAUGCAAUUGCAGAAAUUAUAAAUAGCUAUGAACUGGAGAUUUUGACUCUUGCCACUUUAUCAUCCUUGAAGGUAUGUUGUAUAGAUUUUACUUCAGGGCAGUGCAUGCUUGGAUGGUGCACUUUCAAUUUCAACCCUCAUGAUUUUGUGCUAAUAUGAUAAUAAUUUCUGUUGUAAUUUUUCUAAUUAAUAAAGAUUGUACUUUUCAUAUUGUGAAACUGUGUUUCCAAAGCAGACUGACUGUUAUGUGGCUAGUUACAUUAUCAAGCUCGAGGGGGGCAAAAUGGAGGAACGGGAGUUUGUUGUAUGUCUUAUUAGGGUUUGUUUGUAUACCAUUAAAAAUUUUCUCACAUCGGAGCACAUAUUUUGCAGGUUCUUAAUGAGGGUGAUGAUGCUCCUAUCGGAUGUGCUGUAUCAGUAGUAAACGAGAGCCUUUCUGUCUAUCUCAAGCUUCAGGGAGCUCUUAACGCAGAAGCAGAGCGAGAAAAACUCAGGAAAAAGAUGGAGGAGAUAAGAAAGUAAGUGCAGCUUCCUAAAUCAAACCCUUAACCGUGACAAGUCACGAGUAAAAUGAAGUUGCAUGUGUAUUCAUUUGCUGUUGGUUAAUCAAAUUUGUAUUUUGCAGGCAACAGGAGCAUCUAACACAAAUCAUGAGUGCUUCUGGGUACCAAGAAAAGGUUCCGGCCCGUAUUCAUGAAGAAAAUGUAGCCAAGUUAUCAUCAUUGAUGCAAGAACUUUUGUCGUUUGAACAAGCUAGCCAGCAUCUGGAACGUGAUAUUGCAGCAGAACAAGAAUCCCAUUGAGUCUUCAACCUCACAGAAGGCCCCAUUGGAGGAAACUUAAAUUAUUUUCUCUUGUUUUUCAUUACUAAGUGUGACAUUUUGUUUUUUUGUUUUUUUGUUUUUUUUUAAAUUGUGAAAUUCUGAGACUUCCUUAAAUUAAAUGUUAUCAGAUUUUAAAAUUUUUUAAUGAUCUAAAUUUUGACAAAUAUUGGUUCAAAUCGUUGCAAGUUUAUCCUGGUGUUGGACCCCUACAAAAUGUUCCACUGAUAUGUAUUGGAAGAUGCCUAGUGACUUGCCUCAGCUCUGUUCUCAAGUAUAUUCCUGAUCCUUACAUAUGAAAAGGGUUUCAAUCCUUACUUUCAUUCUAAUGGAUAGGACUAUAUAUAUAUUUUUUUAGUUUUGCUUUUUGUCCUAUCUCAAUCAUUACAUAUGAAAAAGCAACUAAUAGUUUUUAAAACCAGGAAUUAAAAAAAAAUCUCAAAUUUAAAAUUAGUUUUUAUAUAAGAAUUAUUAUAUUUUCCAUUUUAAAAAGGAGAAAAUAAAAAAGAUAUUCAACCAAAGUAUAUUACAUGGCCCCAAAAAUAUUGCUUCAGUACAUGAUAUUGGAUUCACUUCCAUUCCAUUCAAUACCAUUUAGAUUACAUUAUGACUUUGCUUAUUUAAUUACAUAGCAAAGCAUUUUAUCAAAACCACUCUCUUUAUCUGCAUCCAAACCACAAGGCAUUAAAAGCUGAAACAAGCUCUUUCCGUAGCUUUCCACACACUCGCUGGCGAUAUUAUUAGGGAAUGGUCCAUUUGAUCCCUUCAUGCCAACCGCCACGUACCAACCACCGGAUUUACCUCCCACUUUUGGGAUUUUCUCUUACUUUUUCUUACAUAUUAAUAUCUCCGUACUGGCCAAAAAAUGAAGUACGGGCUAAUAGUUAAUUCUACUAAACUCCCACCUACCCUCUGUUUCUUUAGACUAAUUACUAAAUAGAGUAACUCCAUAACGACAUGUCAGCAUCCGCCGCCAUGUCAUCUCCACCGUAGCCAUCCGCCACGCUAUGCGGCGGAGGCAUCAGCAGACCCUCAGCCAUAUUCACCAGCAGACCCGGCAUUCCAAAAACGUCCUCCUCAUCCAUAACAAACACAUUAUCCGGCGUCCUCACCUCACUCUCUUCCCUCCUCUCAUCUUGCAUAACCCCAUCAUUCUCCAUUGGCCUAAACGCCUCCGCCGCCUCCGCUGCCGCCUUCUGAAUGUCCUUGGCGUCGCGGGAGCUAGGCACAUGCAGCCGCCACGCAGAGUCCGCAAAAUUGAGGCAAGCCCCACGUCCCCUCAGCGCCAAUGCCGCCACGUCGUGCGCGCGCGCAGCCAUCUCCGCCGUCGGAAACGUCCCCAGCCAUAUCCUGGACGUCUUGUUGGGCUCCCUCACCUCGCAUACCCACUUCCCGGAGUUCCUCCGCCGCACGCCGCGGUACACAGGGUGCCGCGUCUCCCGAAACUUCUUCCUCCCAGCCCGCUUCUUCGGGUGUGUGGAGGCCAGCAUCAACUCUUCGCUGCCUCCAUCAGAAUCAGGCAAAUUCAGGGAAUCCCAAUUGCAUACGAGCGGGUGAGGGUCGGAAUAUGGUGGAGAAGUAGUAUUCAUAACGGUGAAGACUGAAGUGUCGAGAUUUAGUAAGAGCAGUUAAGGAGAACGGUAACUGAUUUGAGUGCUGAGUGAAGCCCUUUUUGUGUGGAGAUUUGGGUACAAAGUAAUUAACGAGUUUUAUAUAUAUGGUUCCCAAACACGGUUCUGAUAAGGAGACAGGCUGGAAAACCACGGUUACAUAAUUAUCAUAAUUAUUAUUAUUUUUUCUUUUUUUUUAAGAGAAUCGAAGUGGGGCUGACUUGAAUACAGCUGUAGGCUGGUGGCCAAGUUGUGGAGCGAUGGUUGUACAACACGUGUCAUGAAAGUGACGUGGAUAUUGUAAGCCUGACUUGGUCUAUGAUGUUGACUGAUGGGUCCAAUGUAUCUGUAUCAAAUGCUGUCCCUCUAGCUGUCAGAGUCAAUGUCAGUGACGUACUACCAUACUUCAUUUUCCAAUUCCUCGCCGAUUCUAUUCCGAUCAGUCAUUAUAAGUCUUGAAGAAUUAAUUUAUAAAUUCUUCAAGACUUCCUUGUUGGAAGGGUAUAUAUAUUAUAUAUUUAACGGAGGAAAUCAUAUCUUAAUGAUACAAUAUUAUUAUAUUAUGCAUAUAUUUAAUUUAUAAAAUAAAUAAAAUACUAUUUUUAAUUUCUUGAUAUUUGUUUAAAAUAAAAAUUAUAUUACAUUCCAAUAUUUGCUAUUAAAAUUUUUAAAAUUUAUCAUAUAAUUAGUUAUAUCUAGAAAUUAUUCAAUAAUUUAAAAUUUAGUAAAUAAUUAUUUAUUUAUUAAGAAUAAUAUUCAUGAUUCAAAUGUUUUGGUUUGAAAAAUAAGAUUUGAAGCUAAAACAAUAGCACCAAUGUCAUCACACCAUAACAUUGAAUGUUUUUUCAAGAGAAAGACCCAACUCAUGAAAUAAAGAUUGAAUCCAAAUCAAUUAUGUAGUGGUAGAAGCUAAAACACGAUACUUUGACUCAAUACAGCUUCUUGCAACAACUCGUUGUUUCUUAGAGCUCCAAUUGAUUAAAUUACCACCAAGAAAGACACAAUAACACUAAUUGAGCGUCUAUUAUCAAGACUGUUGGCCCAGUCUACAUCAGCAAAACCUUCAAGGAGCAUUUUGGAAGCAUGAUGAAAUUGAAGUCUAAUAGUACUCGUUUUUCAAAGAUAUUUGAGAAUCCUUUUGGAAGCAAACUAGUGAUUAUUUGUUGGAGCAUGAAAGAACUAACAAAGUUCAUUAAUUGAAAACAAUAUGUCAAGUUUGGUCAUGGUGAGAUAUUGUAGAACCCCAAUUUACUUUGAUAAAGAGAGAGGAAAUCAAAAGACUUGUUGUUGUUCAAUGCAAGUUUUUGAUUUUGAUAGAUGAGAGUAGAACAAGACUUGGAAGAGGUUAUGUUUGUUUUAACUAACAAAUCAUGGAUGUACUUAGUUUGUGUAAGAACUAAGCUUGUAGAAUUUCUAUGUGCCUCAAAAUUAAGAAAAUAGUUCACUUUUCUUAGUGUCUUCAAUGCAUACUAAUUACCAAGAUCGGAUACUCUUAAGAUUUUCAAGUUAGGGCCUAGAAGCCUACUUAAGGCCAUACAGAGCCUUGACAAGCUUGCACACACGAGUAGGCUUUCCUUGAUCAACAAAUCCUUCUAAUUAUGCCAUAUAAACUGUUUCAUGUAAUUCUCCAUUAAGAAAGACAUUAUUGAUAUUAAUCUAUUAUAUACUUCACUGAUGAGUGAUAGCUAAAGUAAACACAAUUUUAAUGGUAGAAGACUUGAUCAUAGGAUUGAAAGUUUCAAAGUAAUCAACACUAGGAAUUUGUUGAAAUCCCUUUGCUACAAGUCUGGCUUUAAAACAAUCUAUAAUGUCAUUUACUUUAAGUUUGGUUUUAAACACCCAUUUAUUACUCACAACAUGCAUAUUCUCAGAAUUAGGAACUAGCAUCUAGGCGUUGUAAUCUCACUAUCCAUAGCAGACUUCCAAUGAGGAUUAGAUAAGGCUUGUGAUAUAAUAACAUGAGCUAUAAUAGAGUCACACGUUGGAAUUAUUGCAACACACAAUUUAGGUUUAGAAAUUCCAUUUUUGGAUCUUGUAACCAUGGGACGCGUGUUGGUCAAAGAGUUGAAAGAAUGAAUUAGGUGAGGAGUUUGAGAUGGUGAGCAAACAAGGACAAAAGGAGCUAGAUGAUUAGAGCCACAAAUUAUGCUUUAAUGACGUAUAUAGGAAUGAUUUUUGCAACUAUAAAGGCUCAACUCACCCAACGUAACUCGAAUUGUUUCUAAGAUCCUAGCCAUGGAUAUAACAUAUAUCUUGAGCUAAAUCAUAGGUUUAAAGAAUGAAAAGGAUGUAGGUUGAAGAAAUUAUUUUCAAUCAUGGUAGAUAAGGGACUAAAUAUGCUUAGAAUAAGCUCUAAUAAGAUAAGUUUCGGCAAAUGAAAAUGAAGUAAUUCAUAGCAUGAAAGAUCAUAAAUAGAGGUUAGGGAAAGAGUUGGAGAGUAAGCAAACAUGAGAAAGAAAGUUGAAAGAUAUAGCUUGAAGUUUAAACAUUCUAAAUUGGAACAGAAAAUUUGGUAACAACAUAUACUGUGACUUUGAGGUAAAAUUUAGAGUAUUUCCCAAGGUUAUUUUUGGGCAUACCAUGUAUCAUUUCACUUAUGUUUUAAAAUUUUUGGCCAUUUGUGAUAUUUUGGUAAAAUGCUUUUGAAAGUGGGAUGGACUGCUAUGCCAUCUUGCAUGAAAAGGUUCUAAGCCUUUGCUAACAUAAGCAAAGUCUUCCUUGUUUAUGUCAUAACCUAAUGUUAUUAUUGUUGUUUCCAUGACUAUUUUCCCAAAAUAUAUAAAAAAAACAAAAUCAAUUCAAAUUUAGUCAAAUUAUAUAUUAUAAAUACAAAAAAUAUCAUUAUAAUAUCCUAAAAACUCAAUUCAAAUUCAAAUAAGAUAUAAACUUGCAAACAUAAUUACUAAUAUUUUUUUAAAAAAAUAGCUAAUAUAAAAGAAAAGGAUACAAAAUAAUAAUGCACUUAAUUAUUAAUUUUUAAAACAUUUUUUAAAAGUAUUUUUGAACCUCAUAGAUCAUCCUUUUGGUAUUAAAUAUAAUUUAAUAUAUUUCAAAAUAUUGACAUUUAGUGAAGUAAUAUUUCUAUUUCUAUGUUAAUAUUCAAUGUUAUCAAUGUAGAUUAUGUUAUUAACCUAUGUUUCUAGCAUUAUUAUACAUCAAUUUUUUUUUUUUUUAAGAAAUCAUGUCUAACAUAUUUAUGCUUAUAAUUAAUAUUAUAUAAAUUUCAUAUUAUGGUACCAAUAUUAUUUACAUCUAGGAGAUGCUCCUUUAUCCUUGAGUAUCAUAAAGCCGCAUUAAUUCUUAUCUUGAUAUUUUCAAUAUUUUUAACAUUUUUGAAUUUGUGAAAAAUAAGGAAAAAGUUGAGGUUGUAAACUGGUAAGGAGGUCUAUUCAAGGGGUCCAUUGUUGGUCCCUCCAAGGGUCAAUGCAUGACUCAUUCAAAUAUACAACUAAUAGAUUUAGCCAUCUUUGAAUUGACUUCAUUCCAUAUUUUAUUAUCUUUUAUUAAACGCACUCUUUAACUUUUGAUAAGGGUGAUAAUGUUAUUAAAUCAAGGUUGGAAUAAUUUAUUAAAGUGAAUUAUAACCCAUGGCAUACUGGACUAUGUCCGAUAUGAUUGAUUACUGAUCAUGGCAUGACAACCCUAUCUAAAAUGCACGGAAACAAAUAUUUAGGUUAAAUACAUUUUAUCCUUUCAAUUUUUAACAAGUUUUAUAUUUUGUUACUAAAAUUUGAUAUUUUGUCACCUAAACUUAUUAAAUAUUUACACUUUGCCUCUAAUUACAAUCCUUUUAUAAAAUUAUAAAAGAAAUUUAUAUUUUUCAUACUUUGGUUUGAAUACUAAUAUGAAAUUAAGUAAGAUCAAUUUUGAAUUAACAAUUUUAAAGUAAAAUUUUUCGAAAUAUAAUAAUUAAUUUUUUUUUAUUUUAGAAAAAUAUUUGUAAGAUUAUUGAUGAUUUUUGCAUACAAUUUCAAAGUAUGACUAUUUUAAAUUUGAGUAAUAGAUGUUUUCUUUAUAUUUAAGCUUUUCUUAAUAAUUUUUUUUAUUUAAUAAACUAUUUAUUGACUUUUUAAUAAAUUUAGGAGGUAGAAUGUUAUAUUUUAACAAAUUUGACUAAAACAUUGAGUAAAAUAAAUAUAAGAGAGUAAAUUUAUUUAAUGUUAAAUAUUUUUAAUAGUAAAAAAUAAAUAUUGUUUUUUUAGAAGGAAAAAAAGGAAAGAAAAGAAAAGCCGUUGAGUCUAGACGGGCGAGGAAUCGCGAGGGAAGAAAGAUCGGCAACUAGUAAGAAUUCCAGAAAGUUCUUGGAAACUAAGAAACGUGGAUAACAGUGGCGAGAGCUGACGUGGCCCGUACAUUGAAAACGCCCUUUUGGACAUGACGCCACGAUGAGACCCGGCUCUGAAAAAAACACGGUUGACAGUUAAAAACGGGUGAAGCCACAGGUUUUAGCCACGGAAACGCGUGGGCCACGUGAUCUAAUUCCUAGAAGGUCCGACGGUCACAUCCAAUAUUUCCCAAAUAACGUGGGGCCCAUUUGAAAAUCUUUGGAAGUUAGGGGGGGAAGGGAAAAAACCAGAAGUUUGAACUGGUAGUUGGGAUGAAAUGAGUGAGGCCUAAGGAAAGUGGGAGUGUCCACUUCAAAGCGUAGGCCUUCCGCCUUUUGGGAGACACAGAAAUCACAGUUGGGUGGUGGUGACUGAUGACUUUACUUUCCCACUCUUUCUCCCUACCCAAACAGAGAGUGAUGUGGAUGGGCUGGGCCCAGACGUGGACUAAUUACACGGCUUCUCAUGGGACCGGGGUCCCUUGAAAAUGAGUCUUUACUAUGUGUUUGGCCAAGUCGUGGCGGAAAUCAUCUCUGCCUCUCUGGACACUCGUUUUUUUUAUUGAUUUAUUUUGGCAUUAUGAUUGGUGAUGUCAAUUCCAAAUGUCAUUUUGAAUUGGUCAUGAGUUUCGAUUUUGGACAUGUUUCAUCCAGUUGGUCUGGAUUGGAAUGUGGUCUAGAAAUGUUAGUUGUCAUUUGUAUUACCUCAAUUCAUUCACUUUUGGUUUCCAUCACGUGAAAUUGAUGUGUCUCUGUCAAUUUCUAGAUUCUUCUUUAUCAUUAGGUAUUUAAUUUAAUCCAACUCAAACUCAUAAAUAUUCCACAAAUGAAAAACAACACGCGUCUAAUGUAUGAAUAUUAAAUCUUUCAUGUCUUAUGUAUUAGGUGGUAGGUCGAUUCGGUUUUAUAUAUUAUGUGAGUUGUUGUCGGACUUUAUUUAUUUAUUUAUGGAUAAUUUAGAUUUAAAUUUGAUGGGACUUAUGUUUAACCUUAUUAAUUUUUAGAUUUAAUAUGGUUCUAAAAAUAUAAUAAGAGUUCGUGUCACAAUAUUUUUAAAAAUAUUUUUGAAAAAAAAAAUGUUUGAGAGUAUUUCUAUAAAUUACUUUAAACAUAAAAAAUAAUUUUAAAGAAAAAUCAUAUAUUUGACGAAAUUUAGAUCAUAUUUUUUAAAAUUUGAAAAACCAAUUGUAUUAUUUAUCGGAGAAACACUUGAUAGAUAAUUUUAUUAAAAAAAAAAUAAAACCUGUUAGAGAAAAUGUUUUGCCAUUAAAGGACUCCGCUAAGUGCAGAGUAAGUUAUUAAUUUUAAAAUGUACUGUUUUCAAAUUGAAAUUUAUAAUGUAUUAUCAUUUGAAUUCCAUUAAUUGAAUUUAUUUAUGAUAAUAGUUCUAAUUUGACAUCGAGGGAAUUUUGAUUGGAUUUCACCUAAUGAUAACUAACAUCCACGUUUGAAUUGAUGUGGAUUAACAAUGUUUCUUAAUGUGAUUUAAAACACGUUUUCUUUUAAUGAAUUUUAUUAGUUGAACCAAGGGAAUUAUUAAGAUCACACUUAUUCAAUCAUCUUUUCAUUAUGGCUUUUUAAGGCAAUCAUAAGAGUAUUUGAUGUAGGAGUGUGAGAAGUGCUAUGAAAGGGAGAAUAACUAGAUGACAAUAAUUAUCACAUAUGACACUUUAAAAUAUAAUACCUACUAAAUAAUAAAAAAAGUUCUAAAGACCUUAACUCAUAUCAUGAUCCAACUUGAGGAAGGGAACUUAGCCCACCACUCUAGAGAUAUGGAAGCUUACCAAUCUUAUGUAAAAGAAGGUCGGUGUGUGUGGUUGAUCAUAUUAAGCAACAUGCACAUUGAUCUCAUUAGAGAAUUUGAAAGCUACUCCUAAGCCAAAGACAUAGGGAAGAAGCUUAAGAUUGCUUAUGACAUGACAUUUGGAAUUAGGUUGCAUGCAUUUGCUUUAAAGUUUGAGUAGUAUGUCUAAGCAUGUAAUGGUUGAACAUCUAAGAGCUUUGUCAUCCCUAAUUCAUGAUUUAAAUGCUAUCAUAACAAAUUGCUAAUAGCUCUCAAAGCAUACAUCAAACACCUAUGUUAUCCUUAUGUUCAUCAAAUACUUUGUUAGGUAAAGUCUUGAUAAAAGGAUUUGCCAAGUGUUCAGUAAAAAACAUCUUCUCUAUAGUGACAUCAUUUCUCUAUACUAUUUCACGUAUUAAAUGAUACUUUUUCUUUGAAUUUAUUCUUAUGAUGGUUUUUUUUGGUAUUUUAGAUUGUGUCAUUAACCCACUAUUUAUCUAGUAACUUAAAUAAUAUUAAGAACUUUCUAAAUCAAAUAACUUCAUUUUUUGUUUUAGAAGCAAUAAUAUAUUCUAUCGUAGACCUUUUGUCCUUUGAGAGACAGACAAAUCACAAUUGGGUGGUGGUGACUUUUCAAUUUUUUCUCCGAACCCAAACAAAGAGUGAUGUUGAUGGGUUAGGGUACGUUGAAAAUGAGUCUUUACUAUGAAUUUGGCCAAGUCCUUGUGGAAAUCAUCUCCGUCUUUUUGGACACCUUUUAUUCAUUUUCUCAUUAUAAUUGGUGAUGUCAAGUCCAAAUAUCAUUUUGAAUUGGUCAAUGAGUUUUGAUUUGGACAUGUUCCUUCCAUUGGUUGGGAUGGAAUGUGGUCUAAAAAUGUUAGUUGUUAUUUGUGGUAUCUCAACUCACAUUUUCCUUCCCCAUCACGUGAGAUUCAAGUCCUCCUGUCAAUUUCUAGAAUUUAUAUCAUAAGAUAAUUAAAUUAAUCCAACCCAACUCAUAAACAUCCCACGAGCCCAAAAAGCACGCGUCUAAUGUACAAAUAUUAAAUCUUUAUUGUCCUAUGUGAUAAGUACUAAAUACAAAGUACAAAGUAGUAGAUCUAUAUUGACUCAUUGGGUUUUGGUUGUUAUGUUGGUUGUCGUUUGCUUCUAUUAAUUGAUUUUUUCCAUAAUUUUGACUCAAAUUUGAUGCACGUCACGUUUGAGCUUAUUAAAUUUUUGUAUUUCAUGUGACUCAAGAAAUAUAAUAAGCUAUUGGUUUUAAAAUGUACUACUUUCAACUUGAAUUUAAAAUUUAUUAUUGUUUAAAUUCUAAUAAUUUAAUUUAUUUAUGAUACUACCUCCAAUUUGAUACAUUGGAAUUUUGAUUGGAUUUGACCUCAUCAUAGCUAACAUUCGCAUGAAUUGAUGUGGAUAGAUAAUGUUUCUUAAUGAAAUUUAAAAUAUGUUUUUUAAAAAAAAUAUUUUUUAUCAGUUGAAUGAAGACUUCAUGAUCCAUUAUUUUAAAGAUCAUGGUUUUCAAUAUUCUUUUUGUUUUAGUUUUUCUAGGCAAUUGACCUUGGGUGUAAGAAGUGACUUUGGUAGCAAUAGUUUGACAAGCAAGAACAAAUAAAAAAUAAACAAAAGGGUGGCUAGAAACCACAAGUUCUCGACCUAGAUAUAUCAAAAUAUCUUGAGAAGACAUAGAAAUAUUUUAUUUAAUUUUUUAAAACAUUUUUUUAGUGAAAAUGUUUGAAAAAAUCACUUAGCAUAUGCUUGAUUGAUAGAAUAAAGUAUGAGAUAAGAUAAAAAAAAUAAUAUUAGAUUAUAUCUCUUGUUUGAUUGUAUUAUCUUAUGUUCAAUUAAAUAUGAGAUAAGAUGAAUGAUGAGAUAUAUUAUUUAUUUAUUUAUCUCUUUUAUAUCAAAUAUGUUAAUCUCAUGUUAAGAUAUGAGAUAUAUGUCUCUUGUAUAUCAUAAAUGUAUUUUUUUAUUAUUAAUUUUUUAUUUUUUAUAUACUCAUUUUGUAAAAUAAUUUUUUUAUUAUAAAUUAAAUUUUUUAUUUAAAAAACUAAAAAAAUAUUUAUAAAAAUAAUAUUAAUAUAUGAUAUAUAAAUUAUUUUUAUAUAUUAAAUAGCAUAUUAUAAAAAAUUAUUUAUAAAGUUUAAAUAUUUUAAUCAUGAAUAUUUUUAAAUAUAAGAGAAUUUUAUUUUAAAUAAAAAAUAUUUUAAUGUGAUAUAAUUUUUAUUUUAAAUAUUGAACGUAAUAUAUUUCAUAUUUAUUUUUUAUUCAUUUCAAAAAUUAAAUAUAAAUAUAAUAUUUGGUAUAUUACCUUAAAAUAUCAUAUUUAUAGGAUAAAUAUAUCUAAAUAUAUUUAGGGUAUAUAUUUCCUAUACAAUAAUAUCUUAAUAUAUAUAUAUAUAUAUAUUAUCAUAGUUUAUCCCAUCUUAUCUUGUAGUCAAAAGAAUAUAAAAGUUAUAUAAUUAGGCUUAAAAUAUGAAAAUUGGAAUAUAAUUGAUUUAGAGAAUAUUUAAACUAUUAGCUACCCAAUAAUAUCCAAAAUAUCCUCAAUGAACAUUUCCUAGAUAACCUCUAUCGCAUGAUAGGACACUAAAGAGUCAUUGAAAAGUCGAUAGGGGCACUUGUGCAGCAAUGAUCCCCUGCGUCUACGCCCGUUGCUUAGCAUCAUAUAUUCUUAGUUUCUUACAAUUCUAUUGGGUACUCGCCCAUGUGAUUUUUUUUUUUAUUUUAUAUUUUUGGUAAUUUGUUUUUUUUUUUUUUUUAAAAAACGGACUAUAUACUAUGAGUGUAUAGAUUAAGACAUGCCUAUAAAAUGUGUUGCUGUAAGUGACAUUUCAUUUCUUUAGAUAUUUUGUAGUUUUUCUUUUUGGACCACGUAAUAAUUCUUUUAUCAUUAUUGGAAGCCAUGUAAUCGCAUUGUGUCUCAUCAUUAUGCACCACAAGCAAGGUAAUGGCCCAUAUAUGUUUGGUUGUGCUAUUUUAUUUACUUUAUUAAUUGUGGAUAGGAAGAGUUCAUGUGUCUUGAAAAGCACAUUUCAAAUUAAAUAUGAUAUUUUUAUUUACAAAAUUGAGAGAUGGUUAUAAGUAAUGCAAAAAUUUUCAUCCUUUAUCUAGGAAAGAAUAUCAUAGCCUAAUUAGAAAUUUAUGAAAAAAAGAAAUAUUUAUGCUAAAUGUCAUGUACAAUAAAUACAAUGAGAAGCGUUAUUGAGUAUAUAUAUUAUUGCCGACUUAAUCUAUGGGGAAAAAAAACUAGAUGACAAUAAUUAUAAUAUAUGACAAUGAAAAAUACAAUCCUGACUUAAUAAUCAAGAAGUUUUAGUGACUUUGACUAAUGUUAUGAUCCAACUUUAGGAAGAGAAGCUUACCAACCUAAAAAAGGAUUGAUGUGUGUGUUUGAUCAUGUUAACAAACAUGCGCAUUAAUAUCAUUGGGCAAUUUGAGAGUUGCCUCUAGGCCUACGACAUGAGGAUUAAACUUAAAAUUGUUUAUAACAUGACAUUUGCAAACGGGUUGCAUUUGUUUACUUUAAAGUUUGAGUAGUGUAUCUAAGUAACUACAGUUGAACAUCUAAGAGCUAUGUCAUUCCUAAUUCGUGAUUUAAAGGCUAUUAGUAGUAUAACAAGUUACAACUAUUACUGACUUUUUGCCAAAAAACUUACGGGCAAGUAAAGCUCAUGCUAACCCCAUAGAUAUUUCUCACCACAUCGAACUUAGGGUAGAGAACUUUGGGUGCAACACACUAUCUUUGUAAUCCCAAUGAGACAAAAACAAGAUAACAAGACUAAAUGUAAGAGACAAGGAAAAUAUGGUGGAACAACAAAAAACUUUAGGCCUAACAAAGGUAAGAAAUAAAAACACCAAAGAGGCAAGCCUAAUGAAAAGUAGGACAAUAAAAAAAUCAAAUGCCACAACUGUGGCAAGAUGGGUUACUUCGCUUUUGAGUACACUAAGCCAAAGAAGGUUGAGAAUAAGAAAUAGAGGAAUUUGAAAAUUCUUUGAACUAAUUGAGGUUACAAUUACUUAUAAUAUUAAUUCUAGUGACUGUGUGAAGAAAAGUGGAUUUAAAGUCAAUUAAUGAUUCUUGGAAACCUUGAGGUAAAAUGAUAUAGUGGAAAUGAGGAACUAUAUUCUAUUAGAUAUGGUUAGAUUGAUGAUAGUACAAGCUGGGAUGCUUUUUUGAUUGCCACCUACAUCCUUAAUAGUGUCCUUCCAUGAGUCGAUUCCUACAAUCCUACAUAAGUUAUGAAAUGGCAUAAAACCAAAUUUGAAGCCUUUAUUUCUUUGGAGUUGUGUGGAUUUUGUUCACAAUACUUCUCAAAGAUAUGAGAAACUUGGCCUUAGAGUAGAGGCGUCCAAUGGGCCGUGUCAACUUAAAAAUUGUGUUGGGCCUGGGCCAAUCCAUGCAAACCAAAUAGGUGGCUCGAAAUGGCCUAUAAGCCCGCGGGCUAAUCGUGUUGUUCCAUGUCGUGGCCUAUGAGUCACUCACUUUGUUAAAAGUCUUAAUUUAAUUUUUUUAAGUCAUUUUGUCUUAAGUUUUUUUUAUUAAAUAAAAUUUCUUUUUGUUACUUUAAACACCUCUAAUAAUUAUGAUUUUUAUUUUUUAUACACCUCUAAUAAUUAUACUUUUUAUUUUUUUAUAUUUAUAUUUAUUGAGUUUGUAAUUGUAAAAUUUAUAAAAAUGAUAGUUUUAAAAAAAAUAGUAAAAAAAUUAUAUUUGAAUUUGUUUUUUUUAUUUAUCAAAAUAAUAAUAAAUUUAAAAUAAUGGAAUAUAAAGGGAAAUGAAGUAUAAAAAAUAAUUCUUUUAUUCAAUAUUUCAACAAUUUACAUGAAAAAAAUAAGAAGAUGGGUCGACACGAUGACACGAUAGGUUGUUUCCUUAGGCCUAAUACGACCCGGUUCUUUGGGUUGUGCCGGCCUGAGCUGCUACAAUAAUUGGGCCAUGCCAGCUCGACCUAGUCUUUUGGUGUGUCAUGCCACAUGCCAAAAUGGACGGCCCAACCCAUUGGACACUUCUACCUUAGAGCAAAUAAACAAUUUUUUUUGAAUCCCCAUAAGGUUAUGUGAUGUAUGGAGAAUGUUCUAAUGGAAAAAUGACUUAGAUAAAGUUGCACAAUAUAGAUUUCAUAGAGGAUGACUAUCCUAGUUUAGAUAAAGUAAAGAAGAACCUUAAAUUGUAUACUUUACAAAAGGAAGUCACGCAAUCUUUGAAUGAGGAUAGGGAAUUUCAAACCCAUUCUAAGAUUGCUAAAGAUAGCAAGGAUGACUUUCCUCUAGUAGGACUACACCACUCAAUAGGAUCAUAUCACUAAAUGACUCUUCUUAUGAUAUUUGGUUACAUAGAAUCCAAUAUGGAAAGAUUUGUAUAGAAUCCAAUAAGGAAAGAUUGCCAAUUAUGAUUUGAGAUUGAGAAGAAAUAUUUUAUGUGUGCUCUGUUAGAACUUGAUGAGCUUCCAUCUUUCAAGGAAGCAUUGACUUCACCUAGAUUAGUUGAAUCACUUAGCUACUAUGAGGGAAAAAAUGAGUUUCAUGGCUAAAAACCAUAUUUGGGAGUUGGUUGACCUUCUAAUUAGGCACAAGAUAAUUAGAAACAAAUGAGUAUUAAAUAUUAAGUGCAAGGUAGAUAGAUCAAUCGACAAAUUCAAGGUACAUCUUAUGGCGAAAGGUUAUACCUAAAAAGAGGGUAUAGACAUGAAGAUACUCUUACCUUGGUGGUGAGAUUUGCCUCAUUCUUGCUAUUGUCAUGAAUUUAGAUUUAUAAUCGUUCAAAAAAUAUCUUAAGACUAUAUUUCUCAAUAGAGAACUAGAUGAGGAAAUCCACAUGGAUUAGCUUAGAGCUUCUAAGUUGAGGGACAAAAACACAAAGCAUGUUGCCUUAUGCUUACCAUUUAUGGCAUAAAACAAUCAUCUAGACAAUUGUAUUUUAGUUUUCAUCAAACUAUUAUUUUUAUUAGCUUUGACAUACCAGAUGAGUGCCAUUGUGUGUAUUUCAAACAAUCAAGGAGAAGUUUUCUCAUUCUAUCUUUGUAUGUUGAUGACAUUUUGUUAGUUAUGAAAGACUUUAAGAUAACUAUUGUCACCAAAGAGUGGUCUUAUACUUUUGACAUCAAGGACAUGGAAGAGUUAAAUUAUGUGCUGAUAUUUAAAAUCCUAAAGGAUCACUUUAGAAAGCUUCUUAGUUUAUAUGAAAAGAAUACAUUAAGAUGAUUCUAGAAUAUUUUUAGAUGCAUAAUCCAAUAGAGAAAGGUUACACCUUGAGUAUUGAUCAAUGGCUUAGGAAUGAUGAAGACAAUGAAUAAAUGAAAAGAGUUUUCUAUGUUAGUGUAAUUGGAAGUUUGAUAUAUGCUAUUAAACAAAAGUUUUAUAGUUUGAUUGGUAAAUUGUUACUAGAGUAACCUAAGGUUUGUUCAGAGGAGAGUAGUUAAGAGAAUUUUGCAUAAUCUCAUUCUUUACUAUUAAGGUGAAGACUUGAGAUUAGAAGGAUACAGUGAAUAAAAAUUAAGAUAGUGACAAAGAUUAACACAUGUCUACUACAAGAUAUACCUUUUUAUUUACUGAUGCAACUAUUUCUUAAUGUAAUAAGAAGCAAUUUUGCAAUAUAUUAUCUACAUGGAGUUAGAAUAUUUCUCUUGUUCAGUGAUAGAUAAGAGGUAAUUUAGUUAAGAAGAUUCUUUUACUGCCUACUUGUCAUAGUUGUAGCAGAUGAAGUUGUUAUUGUCUUUAAUGAUAAUAUGGAAGCUUUAGCAUGUAGUAAGAAUUCUAAGCACCAUGAUAGGACUAAACACAUAGACAUUAGAUUCCAAUAUAUCAAGAUGUUAUUAUACAAGCGGAGGUGAUUCUUAAACAUAUCUCUACUUGAAGGAUGAUGACUACUACUCUAAUUAAAGCCAUUAUUACAGAUGUUUUUCAAACUCAUGUUAGGAGUUUAGAUUUUUGUAAACUAUGAUAUAUGCUUAGAUACCUUAUUGUGAGUUUAGCUAGGUUGGCAAUUCCGAACAAAAUUCCUAAGUGUCUCCUAACUUGAUUUAUCCAAUCUUUCUACAUACAAACUACUUGGUUAAUAGAGAUCAAUUUGUUGAAUUUGUCAGGAGACCAAGAUUUGUAGUUGAAGUUGGAGCUAGAUGGAUUUGAAUUAACCAUUGUAUUUAAAUGCUGAUUUUUCUUGAAUUUUUUUUGAGGAGUUAGGAAACAUUUUUUUACCAAGUGUUAAAAAUGCCAUGUUCCAAGAUCGAUCCAACUUUAGGUCAGAUCAAUCCAGCUUACACUUUUUUGAAGAAAUCUCAUUCGUUGGAUCAAUGGUUUCCUUCAUUUAAAAACCCAAAACUUGUUUCCUAUGCUGUAGAGAGACACACAAUAACAACAAUCCCCUUUGGUUAUCUUCUUCUUUCCUAUUUUGGGGCAUUUGGUUGCUAAGAAAAUCCAACUUUCUUAUUGUUUUCCAAACUGUUUUCAAUGGAUUUUCUUGAGAAAAUAAUGGGUUGAUUCUUUAUUCAUUCAUCUCUCAAUUUCUAGUUAUUUGGGUUUGGGUAAAAACUCAUUUUCUUCUUGUGUGGAUUCAAGAAGAGGCUGAGAUUAAGCUUAGUGUGGACUCCAAGUGUGCUCCAAAAGAAGAAUGUGAGAAGCUAAAAGUGAAAGGUACUAGUCAAGUGGUUUGGAAAUGAUUGGUAAGCUUGAGCUAGGUAAAACCUUGUAUUCAAUUUUUGUUCUUCAUAGUGGAAGUCCUUGAUCGGUUAUAGGCCCGUGGUUUUUUAUUUCUUCGGAGGUUUUCCAUGUUGAAAUUUGGUGUCAUUGUCUUUUUUUCUCAUUCUACUUUUUGAUUUAUUUUCAAUUUUUGAUAUUAUUGGUUAUUUGGGCAUAUAUGUUGAAUGGAAGAAAAAUGAGUUAAAAUAGUGAUUAUCCAUUGGAUAUCUUGAAUUUUUUUUUUGUUCAUUUUGGUUAAUGAUAUUUUGUAGUAAUUGGAAAUGAGUUAAGAAGAUAAUUGUUCUUAUGAAUUAAUUUUAAGGAGUGUUGAAGCAUUUGCAUGUGAAUUGAAUUUAUAAAUUGUUGGGAGAGUGUUGUUGCAUUCAUACUUGCUUGUGAAUUUUAUACUUUAUUGAAAAGUUGUUGGAAAAGAAGUUUAUAAACAUUGAGAAAUUCUAACAUUAGGUAAUUUUUGUUGAAAGAUUUUUUUAAAAUUGUUCAACAACACCUAUUCACAUCUAGGUGUAGUCCAUUAUUGAGAUUCACCUUUCACUUAUGUAUUGACAUUUCAUAUGAUUAUGAGUAUUUUAUACAACUAUUCAACAUAGAUUCCUUUAGUAACAUGAUUGACAUUGUACUCUACCAUAUAUUUUUCUUGAAUGUCACUAGGCUUAGAUUGGCUUAGUCACAUAAGGCAAUCAUCCUAGUGCCUAAAUAACGAGUUGGAUGAGACAAUAGUCAUUUUAGAACUCAGAGGGUGAAUAGAAUAAUUUAAUUAUGGAAUAUUGCCUUAGUUGGGCUAUAAGAUGAGACUAUUAAAGAGCUUACUAUGAAAUAAGUCCACAUUUUUAUAAAGCCUAAAUGAAGUUGAAUAUGAGAUCUUAAGUAGGUGAUUGAUGGGUAAUUAGGCUAAGAAACUCAAGUUAGGCACUCAUGAAGCAACUAGACCAAGAUUCAUAUGGUGUUAGAGAGUGAUAGACCCAUUUUUGUGGGAGCUCUACCAUAACGUAGAGAUCAUAUUGUAUGUGUCAUAUGUGAUUAUUUGAGAGUAUGGUUGGAGGAAUUCCUACUCCAACACUGUGUGAGCCUUAAUGCCCUUGAAUCUAAACAAUAUGGUGAAAUGAGGAUUUUAUGUUGCUACUUUAGCAUGUUAUUUAAGGAUUGUGAUUGACAUGAUUCAACAAAGUAUGUUAGGAAAGUGGUUGAGUCUAAAUGGAUUGACAUGAGUGGCUAAAGGGACAUUGUCGAUGAUACACUAUAACCAUGGUCUAGAAGAUCAUGUUGAAUUUUUUAUCACAAAGGUUAAACAUUUCUUUGAGUUACAAGUCAUGAGGGGUGUAAAAAAAGCUUGAUUAGAUGUCAUUGCCUAAUUUGGGGUAUAAGUAAGUUUUUCGAGUAGUAUGCUAUGUUAGUGAGAUGUUGAUUUAAGAUAAGCACUCCUAUCUUCUACCUUCUCAUCAUGUUAUACACACCAUGUUUUGUACUAGAAAAGGAUUGGAAUACAAGAUUGAAAAAAUGGAUAAAAUUCUAGAUAUAAAAUUCAAUAUCGACAAGUGAAGGGAUGUUAAAAUUUUAUUGGAUUUGACCAAUGUAACCACUUUCUUUUGAUUUGAACAUGGAUAGAUAAUGUAUUUAAAUGAGAAAAUUAUGUUUUUGAAUUUCUAUUGGUUGAAUGAAGAUAGAUCUCCAUUUGAAGGCAUUUCAAUAAAUGUACUAACACCAUCAAUGAAUUAUCCUUCAAUUUUUGAACUUUAAAAAGAUUUUGGUCACUCGAUACUUUCUAUUCUAAGUUUUUUAAGGCAAUCAUCUAAGCCUUUGAUCUUGGAGUGUGGAGUGGAGAAUUGUACAGCUAACUUUGGUGAGUGGGGAGGCUAGUACUCAUUGAAGUCAUUUAGAAAUAUGAAAAAUGAUAUGUUUUGAAUAUUUUUGUAAGAAAUAUUUUGGAGAGUAGGUUUUUAAAAAUGUAUUCCUUGGAAAACACGAUAGGGAAAUUUGAUUUGGAGGAUAGUUAAGUCAUGUUUGGUCCCUAAACAUGUGAGAAAAAACAAAAGGAUAAGAAAAUAGAAAAGAAAAAAUUAUGAAAGAAAAAUAAAAAAAAUAAAUUUAAAACCAAUAAAUUAUUUAUAUAUACUGUUUCAAACUCAUUUAACUUAUUUUAAUUUUUUAUAUAAUGAUUAAAUAAUUUGAAAAUAUAUAAGUUUCUUAUUAAUUAAAUUUAUAUUUGAUUUUUUUUAUAUAUUUUUUACUAUUUAACUAAACAUAAAUAUGCAUAUAUAUAUAUAUAUAUAUAUAUUAACAUUUUUUUCUUAGAAUUAUUGAGAAAUUGAACAUAAUUUUAGGACUUGUUUGAUAAUUGUUUUCAAGAACAAUUUUCUAUUAUCGAAAAAAAUAUAUAAAAAUAAGGAUUAUUUUAAAAAAUAAUUAUACAAACAUAUAAAAUGAUUAAAAAUAAAAUACUAAACAUAAAAAUUAUUUUUAAAAUAUAUUUAAAAAUAUUAAAAACAAGUUAAAAAUAUUUUAGGUUUUAAAAUAAACUUUUAUUUUUUAAAACAUUAAAAAUUAUUUUUUAAAACUAUUUUGAGAAAUAAUUGGAGGACCUCUUAAAACGGGCUAAGAAACAAUUAAUACGAUUUUUGGGGCCUUUUAGACCAAAAAAAAAAAAAGCAUCAAAGUGAUGUUAUCAUGAUUCAUGUCCUUCAAAUUACUAUUUAAGUGUGACACUUGUCACAACACUAUUUUUUAAUCAACACCCUGCAAUGCUCAUUGAUGACAAAUAAUGACAACACCAGAGUUAUAUUAAAUAUUAUUUUUUUCUAAAAGGAAAAUGUAGGUUUCCCAAUUAGUAUGAUAGUCCCCCCACUAAUCAUAUUUUAUCAAAUCUAAUACUAUGAUUAGAUUUCUUCUUUUAGCCGCUUUUCAAACACUCACUGCCCACUGAAUUGAACAUAUGAUUGAUUACCAAUUUAUAGAUAUAUAUAUGAAAUGGGGAGAAUCUCUUUUUUUGGGAUUAAAAGUUCAUUGAGUUGGUGCCCUAACAUUCUCAACUAAAUCAUAUUAUAACUUUUUUAAUAAUGAAAUGAGCAUGGCCCAUCCCUUUUUGCUUGUUACUAUCUUCAACAUUCCACCUUGUUCCCUUUUGUUUGCUAUGAUUCUCAAAAUUCCAUUUUAUUUGGAAAAACGAUGUUUUCAGAGAAUAAAUGCAUGUUUCAUCGUGUGAUUUAAAAAUAGUUGUCUGUUUUUUAAAAUAAAUAAUUAUUUUUAAUAAUUUAUAGUAAUGUUUGAUAGUUGUUUUUUUAAAAACAAUUUUUUAAAAUAAAGUGAAAUAAAAAAUAAUUUUUAGAAAAUAAAUAAAAGUUGUUUUUACUGAUUUUAUAAACUAAAAGGAAAAUAUAGAAAAUUUAAAAAGAUAAUAAAAAAACAAGUAAAAUUAAAUAUAAUACUGUACGUGUUCUUUUUUCAUAGUCUAAUAUUAAUAUCGAAAAUCUUAAAAUAUAAUAUUUCUUUAAAUUGGACAUACCUUUCUAAAGUUUUUUCUUUUCAAUUUUUUUAAAAUUUUUCAUUAAUCAAAUAAAUUUUAAAUCAAAUCGCACUUAAUACAUAAAAUUUAGUAAUUCUAAAAAAAUAAUUAAAACUCAAAAACUAAUUUUGGCAUAUACCAAAAUUUAUUUUAAAUGUAUGAAUUAGUUUCUUUUUUAUAUAUAAUUUCUUUCAAAAUAUUUUACUUUUUACUAAAAAUUUGAAUACAUAAUAUGCAUUAUUCUUUUUUAAGUAUAAUAUGCAUCUCAUGUUUUGUUUACAUCUUUACUUCCCAUUUAAACUUUCUCACCACAUUUGUAAAUAUUUAAGCAAAGAGAUGGAAAGUAAAAAAUAAAAUAAAAAUUCCCUCGUCGAAGGUUUGGGACUUGAGUCUGGAGAGGCUAACCAGCAUUCCCUCGGCCUUGUCUACCAGUAAAUUAGGCAUGCUCAGAAGCUCCUCCUCCUCAAUGAAUUGAUCCUCCCCCGCUGCCAAGCCACCGAGUUGUGUCGUCUUCUCCUUUUUAGGUUGGAUGGGGUCUGGACUCUCCAAGUUCUUGGACUUCGCUUGCUGGGCCUUGGCGGUGCUCACUACAGCUGCCCGUAUAUCACCGGCGGAGGUGGACUUUGGUUUAUGGAAUGACAGUGCGGAGUUGGGAAAAUUCAAGUUGGCAUUAAUGCCUUUUAAGGCUAGCAACGGUACAUCAAAUGCGGCAGCCGCCAUUUCAGGUGUCGUACGUGCCGAGCCACAUUCGAGUACGUAGUUUUGCGCGGCUCUGAAUCUCUGGUACCCAUUUAUUACCUCGGCACCAGAUUCCUCCAUAAACAGGGUGCUUCCCGACGAUUUGACCGGAAAAGGCAGAGGAAGAGGGAAGAUUUUUCGAGGAGGAUGAGCAGAUGUGGGAGGUGAAGAGAGGUCUUGUCCGCACAAAAGAGAGAGAAGCCUCAAGUACUUCAAUUUUUGGAGUAGGAGGUGGUUGGUCACUUUGGCGCGCAAGUGAAUGCAAUUCAAAAAGAGAGAGAUGCAAAAAUUUGGGUAGAGAGGAUUGGAAUUGCAAUUCUUGGAGUUAUUUGCAUUGAGUGUGUCAAUUGAAGAAGUAAUAAAGAAUGAAAAAGAAUGUUAAUGAUGUUUUAAAUACAAAGGAAGGAAAUAAAAAUCGACUUUUAAGUCAAUUGAUUUUGAAAAUGAUAAAGUUUUUACGAUAUUAAUAGAUUUUCUUUUUUAACUUUAAAUAAUUUCCAUCAUAAUUAUUGAUAAAUAUAAUUUAAUGAUGAUGGUUGGAUUUAUGGGAACAACUAUCUAAAAUUGAAUAUAGGUGAGUUAUAAAUUAUGAUCCAACAAACUUACCUAAAGAUUGCAACUUGACCAACCCUACCUUAUUUAUGAACUCCUUAAUGGAUAGGUUGAACAGUUGGGUGGCGUAAAAGUUUGCAAAUUAACUUAGACAUUCUCCUAGGCAAAAAUCAUACUCAAUCUGAAUUUUUUUUUUUGAGAUUUAAGAACAUUUUCUAAAUCAUAUUUAUCAAAAUCAUUACUUAUCUUGAAUCUCAAGGUCCAUGACUCAACCCCACUAUUCUUUUUUUUUUUUUCACUAAAAUUAUUUUCAUCUUCUUUUGAAUCUCAAAACAUAUGAGAACAAGAAAAUUAAGAAAAAUAAAACUAAAUUGAGUACGCCUUCGCUAUUUUUCUUAUUUUACCAUUGUCAGUUCAAAUCUUAGUAGAGUUUUGUUAUUUUAAACCUAAUCCCAUCAAUAUAAUUAGCACCACCAAUAUAAUUAGCACUAAUAUAUCUAAGAACAUCUAUUAUAGGGAAAAGUGUAUUUCCAUGUGUUCAUAUGAAAAAAAUCAUAAAAUAGAAACUCAAAUUUAUAAAAUACAAAUUUUAAGUAAUUAUCUAAAAAUAAUUAAUAUUUUAUACAUUUUUUAAAAUUAAAAGUACUACAUUUGAUCAUUCAAGUAUUAUCUUUUAAUUAUAUGGGUAUUAUUUUUUUAUCAUUCUAGGUACUACUUUUGACCCGUAAAUAUAUGAAACUUGAAUUAUUUUUAUAUAACUACGUGAAAAACACAUUUUCUUCUAUUUGAGUAGUAUAAUUUAAAAAAGAAAAAUAUGUUUUGGAAUAUAUUUAAAAAAAAAUAAAAGAAAAAUAAACCCUUUAAAAAUAAUUAAAAUUUCAUGAACUUUGAAAUAAAAGGUAUUACCAAUUCAAAUCAAAAUUUAUAUAUGUAUAAUUUAUCAUUAAAAUGUAGUAUCAAGGUGUUGUCAUUUACUUGAAAAUACAUAAAAUUUUAAUUAUUUUAAGUUGGAUAUGUUAAGUUUUAAUUUUACAAAUACUCGUUUUAUUUAUUUUAUUUUUUAAAGUGUGGAUCAAAACAAAAAAAAAUUAAGUAUAAAGUUAAUGUUUUUAAUUGUGGUUUAGACAUCGGACCAGACCAAUCGGUCACAGUUCCGGUCCGAUCUGACGAAUUUGACCGAAAAGUGAUCAAACCAGAAUCGAAUUUGUUGAAUUGACGGUCUAACUGACAAAUCGAUCAAUCCCCUUCGAAAUCGUCGCCCACUGGAGUGUCUUCCCGCUGGCACCCCCCUCUCUUCUCCCUAAACACAGUCCCCCUGCGCGCUUGCACCCCUUCCAGUCACCUUAUCUUCCGGCCACCUUCCAUUUUUGUUUUCUAAAAUUUAAUUUUUUAUGUUUUAUAUUUAAACAUCUUAAUAUUUAAUUUCUUAAACUUGUGUUAAUUAUAAUUGUAAUGAUAUGUUUAACAUUUAUUUUUUUCAUUUUUGUUUUAUUUUUUGCACAUUGAAAUUUUAAUUUAUUGAAAUUAUUAAAAUUAUUGAGUUGAUUGAUAUCUAUGUACAAAACUUUAUGAAAAAAAUUCAACAAACAGUAUAGAUAUUGUCAAAAUUUAGAGAAUUUAUUAUUUUUAUUUAUUAAUUUUUUUAAUUCUAAUAAUAUAUAAAAUAUAUAUUUAUGAUGUUACUAAUUCAAUCCAAUCAGUGAACGUGAAUCGAUAACUUUUUCAAUUCAAUAAUCGAUCUGUUUUUAAAAACAUUGUUUUUAAUAGUUGACUUAUCAAUUAGCAUGAAUAAAAAAAUAAUUAUUUAUUUUCAAAUUCCAAUUUGAUGUUACUUAAUCCAAGUCCAUUUAAUAGUUGGUCUACGAUGAGCAAUAAAUACUUGAAAUUGGUUGCAUUUUAGUUGUAUAUACUAAGAAAGGAGGCUUUGUAACGGUUAACUAAUUCAACACACGUGCCUCUUUUUGGGAAUUCAAUACAUGGCAUUGCCCAUAUACGCUGUCAUGAUGUGCCCCUCUCUUGGUUGUCCAUCUUUCUCUCUUCUGGUCCAUGGCAGAAAAAAGUUCCUUACACAAAUAAUUUUAUUUUUAAAUAUGUGGUCCACAUUUUAAUACUAUUUUAAAUUUAUUUCACUUAUUUUAAUAUUUUUAAAAUACUUUUAUGGGUAAGUUUUUAAUUAAUUAUAAUUAUAAUAAAAUCAAAUAUAAGAAAAUAAUUUUUUAAAUAUUUUUUUUCUUUAAUACUUUUCUAAAACCAAACUGAUGUUAAGAUUGAAAUAGACAACAUAUAUUAGUUGGUGAUAAUGUAAAGAGAUAAGAAUGACAAUUGAUUAUGUAUUUUGGAUGCCAACUUUGUCAUCAACUAUAUAUAAUAUAAAAUAAAAAAGUCUUUUAAUUGACUUUUUUUUUCAACUUUUUUAAUGUAUAAAAAAAUAUUAUUUCUAUGUAUAAAUAUUUAUAAAUUUUUAAUAAAAAUUAAAAUUUUAAAAGUAAAAAAUAUGAAAAGAAUGAAAAAAAAAUAAUAAAAUAAUAAAAUUUUGAAUGGGAAUGAGUAGGUCCAAUUCUAAUGUUUUGGAUGAACAAUUAAUGGGAACCAAAAAAUAAAAUAUAGGCAGUCGACCUGCCUCCUCCUUUCAGAAGGUCAAAACUUUUUCCUCUAAUUCAAACUUUUUGGCAGCAGACUAAUGAAUCAUCCUACCUAUUUAGCUUAUUGUGCAACUUUCAACAAAAACGGUUUGUCAAAGGACUUCUCUUCAACCAAUUUUUCCUUUUUCCUUCUUAUUUAUUUAUUUUUUAUAUAUUUUUAUAUUUUUAUUCAACUUAUUCAAAUAAGUUUAAAGUAAUAAAAAUAAUCAUCACCAAAGAAUUUGGACCACCAAAAAGUAAAAAUCCCCAAGAAAUUUACAGUAUCUUUAAAAAGUUUAUGACAACAAUGGGUAAUAUAAAGUUGAAUUAGUAGAUUCUUCAAAUUGAUUUUUUAAACCCACACAUAAAAGAUUUUUAUUAAUUAUUCAAAAGUAAAACCUCAUAGCAUCAAUACCCAUGAAAAUAAUUAAAUUAUAUAAUAAAUAUAUAAAAUUAAUAAUUUUUAAUACCAAAUAAAUGUUCAUUAAUUUAAAAACUUUAAUAUUUGAACUUCUUUUAUACAUCAAAUGUGAGCCUUUAAUAUGGCUUCAGGCUUUUAGCUUUAUUAAUUCGAUUAAUUCUAGUAAUUUGUUUUAAAGUAAAAAAUUGUAGGUUUAAAAAUAAAUACAAAAAGCUUUGAUCUUGUUUAGUUAUUAUUUUUAAAAAUAAUUUUAAAAAAUAGUUAUUGAUGAUAGUUUUUAAAAGCAGUUCUUAUAUGUUUUGUAGAACCAAAAUCCAUUUGAAAGCGUAAAAUAUUUUUAAUACAUUUUAAAAAUAAAUUUUAUAUUUAAUAUUUUAAAAACAUGUACAUAUGUUCUUUUGAAAAAAAAAAAUGUCACCAAAAAUAUAAUGUCGGCAUAUGGCUGAAUUUGAUAAUUUUAAUUAUGUGCUUCAAAGUCAAAAGUUAUAGCUUUAGAAAUAAAACUUUUUGCAAAUUUUUUAAUAAGUUUUUGACCCACAAUUAAUAAUUUAAUACAUCACAUAACUUCUUUAUAUCUUCAUAGUAUUCGCUUUUGCAUAUAAUGACAAAGAAAAUAUUCAUUAUGUUUCUUCUCUUUCAUUGGUAGUUGUGCAUCCUAUUUUAAAUUUUCAAAUAUUUUUCAUAACCUUUUUAUUUUAUUUUUAAUUUUUUUCUUUAUUUUUUUAUUAUUGUCAAUAUUAUACUUGAGAUUACCUUUGAUUUAGAAAAAAAAAAACUUAUAUAGUUGUGAUUAUUAUGUUUUUUUAUAUUUAAUUUUUAAUAAAAAUUAAAUAUAUAUUAUUUAUAAUUCCUUUUUAAAGUUGCCAACUUUCCCGCCACAUAUGUGAGGAUUUAAGCAGAAAGUUGAAAAAAAGAAAAGAAAAAAAAUCUAAAAUGGCCUCCUCUAAGUCCUCCUCUCUUAACUUCUUGAAGUAGGAUUUGAAAGUGACUAUAUUUUAUGUAAGAUUGACUCCAGUACACUAACGUGGCAGUUGAAUGAUUUUUGCUAUAUAUAGAUAUUUAUUGUCAAAUUGCACACGGAACAAAGGAGUCGUGUCUCUCUUUCUUUCAUACUUUUCUCUCAAACCAAGCAAAGACAUUGCAAUUAUCAUGACCGCCAUUCCCGUUGCAUCCAUUAGCUAACCAUAAAUGAAUAUAAAACCCAUAUGGGCUCAAGAUUCUUAAACUUCCCAUGUCUCGUGGAUUAAAAAUUAUUGAAGACAACCCCACAUGAUUGUUGUCUAAAAAGGGCCUAAAGGACAAGAACAUGGUGAAUGUGAAAAUUUGAAGCCCUGAAAAGAGUGGAAAACGGAUCGAUGGGGAAGGCGUCUUGAUAUGUGGCAAUUAUCAAAAGGGGUAGUUAUGACAUUGAGAUAUAUAAGCACUAGUCACAUUAAUGGUAGCUGUACAGUACACGCUUUCUUACAGGUUAGUAACUGGGAUCUCUGCAACCCGAUCAGCUUCGGAACCCAACAUCAAUGUUGGAAAAAGAAAAGGAAAUCCAAAAACAAAUCUCACAAACAAAGUGGAAAAUUUACCAUAUUAAUUCUUUUACCUGAUGAUGAUGAUGAUGAUGAUGGUUCUGGCAGUUCUGCUUCUCCACCUUUCUGGCUUUGAUUAUGUGUAGCUCCAUAGACUAUCACUGUCUGAAUUCUCCGGGGAAUCGUCGGAGGGUUGGGACUUGAGUCUAGGCGGGCUAACCAGCAUUCCCUCGGCCAUGUCCACCAAUAGAUUAGGCAUGUUCAGAAGCUCCUCUUCGUCAAUGAAUUGAUCCUCCCCCGCUGCCAAGCUACUGGAUUCUGUUGUCUCCUCCUUUUUAGGUUGGGUGGUGUUUGGGCUCUCCGAACUCUCGGGCUUUGCUUGCUGAGCCUCAGCGGCCCUCGCUGCCGCCGCGCGUAUAUCGCUUGCGGAGGUGGACUUUGGGAUAGGGUAUGACAGAACGGAGUUGGGAAAAUUCAAGGUGGCAUCAGUGCCUUUUAAGGCCAGCGCUGCUACAUCAUAGGCGGUAGCCGCCAUUUCAGGCGUCGGGUACGUGCCGAGCCAUAUUCGAGUAGUUUUGCGCGGCUCUCGAAUCUCCGAUACCCAUUUAUUACCUCGACACCGGAUUCCCCUAUAAAAAGGGUGCCUCCCGGCGGUUUGACCAGAAAAGGGAGUCGGAGAGGGAAGAUUUUUUGGUGAGGGAUGAGCAGAUGUGGGCGUUGAGGAGGAAUGUGAAGGAGGUGAAGAAAGGUCUUGUGGGGGCACAAUAGAGAGAGAAGAGUCGGGUACUUCGAUUUUUGGAGUAGGAGGUGGUUGGUCACUUGGGCGCACGUUAGCACGAGGUUCUUCCAUAUUUAAAAAAAAAAAAAAAAUUGCAAUUCAGAUAGAGAGAGGGGGAGAAAGAGAGAGAGAGAGAGAGAGAGAGAGACUCAAAAUUCGGGUCAAAAAGAUCGGAAGGGGAGCUGGGCUUAUAAGGGGGGCGAGAAAAGGGUACUAGGCAAAAGCGUGGCCAAAUCGCGGACCCCGGUUGGCUUUGCGCCUUAAACCCAAUUCGACAUGAGGCAACCCGAGGCACACGUAUCAGGCGCAAGCUAGCAAUUAGCUGUUACCUAAUGGUCCUCAUUCUGUUUCCCAAUUUCUUAAUUGGAAACGCUUUUUGCUUCAAUAUCUUAGUGACACAAACCUGUGGGUGUACACGGCAACGUCUGGUUGGACCAUUCGCUUGUGUAUUUUUCUAUGGGAAAAUGCAUAAUCUUUUGAUUACUAGAUUCUCUAUGAACACACGCACUUUCUAUCCCUUUCUAUCUAUAGCUAUUUGAGACAUAUAAAUGACACUCCAUGGCUUCCUAUUCAUGGGUUUCGUGCAGAAACCAGUCAUCUGCAGACUGGAAGCAUCCAACACUCAAAAAAAGGAGGAAACUUAGGAAUGGGGAGACCAUGAAGAGAGAGAGUCUUUCCUAGAAUUAUAUUGUGCUGUGGUGGUGGUGUUCCCUUGUUGGUAUAGGAUCGUGAAGGGGUACAGUUGGGUCCCAGUUGAUUCACGACACAUGCGGAGUGGCCACAAAUUUUUAUGACUCUAUCCAUCACUAAUAAAAGCCAUUUUUUUCCGGAGUUAAAAGACUGCUGCUUAGUUCCGGGAAUCUAUAACUAUUGAACUCACUUCUCAUGUCAUGUGAUGAAAUCUAGAUCAUCAGAUUAAAAAUAUAAAUAACUUGAACAAAGUGUAUUUGUAACAUCAUCAAAUUGAUGAUGUCUUUUUGAUACUUAUGGAGAAAAAAAUACUUCUGUUUUUUUUCAAAUACUAUAAUAGAAUCCAAAACUAAUAAAAUUUAGACGAACCAAAACUAAUAUGUGAAGUGGAAACGGCAAGAUCAUGUAGUCGAUAACACAACUUAGAUGAGUUAGAAUUUAGAAUAAUAGAACAAUUUGUUUUUCCUUUGGUAGAGACAAAAGUUGGGUCCAUUGGAGCUAAUUGGAUCGAGUAUGUCGAUAGAAAGCGUAGAAAAUGAAGGCGCAUAUUAGUGGUGCUUAGAUUAGAGGGGUAAGAAAAAAGAGGUCGACUUCUAAGUCAAUCGAUUCUAGAAAUAAGGAGGUAUUUGAUUCUAAUAGUUUUUUUCUUUUUUGGCUUGAAAUAAUUUCUCUCAUAAUUAUUAAUAAAUAUAGUUUAAUGUUGAUGGUUGGAUUUGUGGGAACAACUAUAUAAAAUUGAAUGUAGGUGAGUUGUACAUUAUGACCCAACUAACCUAAAGAUUGCGACUUGACCAACCCAACCCAAUUUAUCAACAAGCUUGUUAAUGGAUUUGGUUGGGUGGUGUAAAAGUUAGACAUUCUCCUAGACAAAAAGUCAUUCUUGACGUAAGUUAAUUUUUGGAGUUUUAAAUUUCAUGUACUCUCGAAUUAAAGGUAGUAGUAAUUCAAGUUAAAGUUAAUACAUGUAUCAUUCUAAGGUAAUAUCAAGGUAUAGCCUUUUAGGAUUAAAACACCCUAAUCAUAUUUUUCAAAAGUGAUAAUAAAUCAAUGUGAAAAAAAUUUACAGUGGUUUACUUUUAGUAUAAGAGUUACAUUCACUUGCAGUUGUUGCAGAUUUUCACUAUAAUGAAAAAAGACCAUAAGAAAUUCCCAACCCUCUAGGUUUUGCUCUUCGUCUUUUUGUAUCUCUCUCAAUAAUAAUAAUAAUAAUAAUAAUAAAAACUCCCUCUCAAAGUUAGCUAUCCUAAAUAUAAUAUAAAUAGGGUGAAUAGUAAUUAGACUCCACAUAUCUUUAAUGCUUAAAGUUAUGCAAAAUUAUAAUUAUUUUGAAUUAAAUAUAUUAAGUUUGUGUUUUACAAAUAUAUAUAUAUAUAUAUAUAUAUAUAUAUAUAUAUAUAUAUAUUAAUUUCAAAAGUGUGCAUCAAUAGUGGCUAUUAGAUGGGAGUUUGGAAUAAGAAAUAUAAUAAAUAUAAUUGGUCACUUCAAAUUAGGUGCAUCUAUAUAUUAAUUAUCUAUUAAGCAUAAAGGUAAUGUUUUUAAUAGUUAACCUAGGGAUGAGCAUGAAUAAAAAAUAAUUAUUUAUUUUCAAAUUUCUAUUUGAUGUUACCUAAUCCAAAUCCAUUAAACAAAAUCCAAUUGGUCCAUGCAAAGCGUUAUCCUUUGCUACGAGUUUCCUAACUAUACCAAUUUGGAUUAAGCAUAUAAAUUAAAUACAUUUAGAAACCAUCUUGUAUAUUAUUCAACCUACUUCUCUCACUAAUAUAAGAUACUCGAUUUACACCAUUUUCUAGUACAAAUUUAUUAAAUCAAACUAAGAGAGUGUUUGUUUUUUUUAUUUUUUAUUUUUACUGAAAGUAGUUUUUAAACUUUAGAUUAUUUGUUUUUCUAAUUUUUUUCAUGAUUUAUUAUAAAUUUUUGAUUGAAUAAAAAAAAUUAUAAUAUUUUUGUUUUGUUUUUUUAAUUAUUUUAUUCUAAAGAAAAUUUAAAAAUAAAUAAUACUUAAUAAUAUUAAAUAUUAGGUUAUUUAUUUUUAUAAUAUUUUAUUUUUAUUAAACAUUAAAAAGUAAAUGAAAAAGCGUAUAUGUUACUUUUUUCAUUUAGAAAAAAUCAUAUUAUUUGACUUUUUCUAUAGUUAAAAAUUUAUAAUAAGUCAUAAAAAAAUAAAAAAAAUUAAACAACCGGAUCCACCUUAACUUUUUUUGAAUAGAAAAAGUAAUAUAUUAAAUUUUUUUUAUAUUUAAUAAAAAUAAGAUAAUAUAAAAAAAAUAAGAUAUUAUAAAAACAAAUAACUUAAUACUUAAUACUAUUAAAUACUAUUUAAUUUUAAGUUUUCUCUAAAAUUAAGUAAAAUAAAUAAACACCAAGUGUUAUUUUUUUAAACUUUUUUUUAUUGAAAACAACUUACUUUUAGAUUUCAAAUUGUUUUUUUUUUUUUUUUACUUUUUGUUAACCUGUUACUUAUUUCUUAUAUUUUUUGUUAAUAUUUUGAAUGUUAAAAAUAAUAUAUUGAUUUUUAUUUACUUCUUAAUAUUUAAUAAAAAGUAAAAAAUAUGUUGAGAUAUUAUGAUAUAUUAUUAUGAUAUAUUCUAGGAAAGUAGUUGCUAUUGUUUAGGAUUGUUUCCUAAACUCACGGCAUUGUUUAGGAUUAUUUCCUAAACUCACGGUUUUUCCUUAAUUAGGUUAGCUUGAUGUACUAUAUAUUUAUGUGGAUGAAUAUCAAUUAGGGUUAAGCUUUGACCCUUCAAUCACACUUUACAUGGUAUCAGAGCAUUGACAUGCAUGCAUAAUAAAACAAUGGCCGGCGACGAUGAACAACCACCAUUGCCGCCACCUAAAAGGGAGAUGAAUUCACAUUUUUUUCUCGGCACAGGAGACCGACCAGGCGACUUCAUCACUCCCACUCGCUUACGCGGCGACAAUUACGAUGAUUGGGCUUCCGAUAUUCAGUUGGCAUUGGAGGCACGCCGCAAGUUCGAAUUUUUGGAAGGCACUAUCCCCGAACAAUGGAAAGCUCUUGCGGGCUUAAUUGGUAAUGCUCAAGUUCCGGAUGACAGGUUGAAUGGUAAGUUUGACACGAAGUCAUGGAUCAUUGACACCGGGGCAACUCAUCACGUGACCGGUGAUUUAUUUUGGUUAUUUGAUACUAUAGCGUUGUUUGAGUGUCCGAUUGGCCUUCCUAAUGGUGAAUCUGUUGUUGCGACCCAAUCCGGUUCCGUUCGUUUGUCGAAUAACAUCACUCUUAAAAACGUUCUUUAUGUGCCGAAACUCAAUUGCAAUUUACUUUCGGUUUCAUAAUUGACUGAUGACUUACAUUGUAUUGUCCAAUUUAACUCUUAUAUGUGUGCUAUACAGGACCACACCAGGGAGCUGAUUGGAAUGGGAGUUAGGCGAGAUGGACUUUACUACUUCGGUGGAGCUGAAGGUGAUUCGGUACAACAUGUUUCUGUCCACAACGCAACAUCCACUUUGGAGUUGUGGCACAAAAGGAUGGGACAUCCUUCAGAGAAAGUAGUGAAGUUACUUCCUCCAGUUAGCAAUCUUAAGGGUAGUUUAAACAAAGCUUGUGAAAUAUGUUUUCGUGCUAAGCAUCCUAGAGACAAAUUUCCUUUAAGUGACAAUAAGGCAACUAGAAUUUUUGAGAAAAUACAUUGUGAUUUGUGGGGCUCUUAUAAACAUGUCUCUUCUUGUGGAGCUCGUUAUUUUUUAACUAUUGUUGAUGAUUUCUCAAGAGCUGUGUGGAUUUAUUUGUUGGUCGAUAAAACAAAAUUUUUCCGCAUGUUUAUGUCUUUUAUUGCAAUAGUAGAUCGACAAUUUUCUCAAACAGUGAAAGUUGUUCAAAGUGAUAAUGGUACGAAAUUUAAAUGCCUACUUGACUAUUUUUCUGCAACUGGCAUUUUAUUCCAAACUUCUUGUGUGGGAACUCCGCAACAAAAUGGGAGGGUUGAGAGAAAACACAAGCAUAUUUUAAAUGUGGGGAGGGCAUUACGCUUUCAAGCAAAUUUGCCUAUUUAUUUUUGGGGCGAAAGUGUUCUUGCCGUUGCUCACUUAAUAAACCGCACUCCCUCUCCUUUGUUACACAAUAAAACACCAUUUGAAAUCCUAUUUGGCACCCCUCCUUCAUAUGCGGCAAUUCACACCUUUGGUUGUCUUAGUUUUGCUCAUGAUAAAAAAUCCAAAAGUGACAAAUUUGCAAGUAGAAGUAGAAAAUGUGUGUUUUUGGGUUACCCGUUUGGAAAGAAGGGGUGGAAGUUGUUUGAUUUGGACACCAAGGAAUUAUUUGUUUCUCGUGAUGUCAAGUUUUUUGAGGAUGUUUUUCCGUUUGGUAACCCGGGUGCUGUGAAUAUUAUUCCGGAAAGCAUUGUGCCUACGGUAAAUGUUGAAAUUGAUAGUAAUUUUGCUGAUUUUGUCGAUGAUGAUGCUGAUUUGCCUAACCCACAAGCCCAAACACAAAAUCCCAACCUCAUCCAACCUGAACCCCAAGCCCACCAAGAUCAGGUGCCCCAUUUUGAUGCCGAUCCAGAUCUGGGCUUGAGGGAGGGUGGGCCGGCCCACACCAAGGCUUCUUCAGCGCCUCUUUCACCUGGGCCGGACGUUGUUCCCACUGUUGGGCUUGAUUCACUUGGGCUUGACAAUACAAGCAAUGGGUAGUCUGCUCCUAUGGGAAAGGGAAUGAGGGAUAAAUUUCCUUCGGUUCUAUUACGAGAUUUUGUUACUCAUACGGUGGUUGCUGAAAGUCCAUCUCCCGCCACUCCGUCUCCACAGCAUCCCUCAGGUACUCCUUAUCCCAUAGCACAUUAUAUAAAUUGUGACAAUUUUUCUGUACAUUAUUGAAAGUUUCUUGCAGUUAUUAUUUCGAGCAAUGAUCCUAAGUCAUUUAAAGAGGCUAUGAAAGAUGUCAGUUGGCAAAAGUCAAUGCAUGAGGAGAUUCGGGCUUUGGAGGAAAAUGGUACGUGGACUCUUGAACCUCUUCCAAAGCGUAAGCAUGCUUUGGGAAGUCAGUGGGUUUACAGAACCAAGUACUUCUCAAAUGGUGAUAUUGAAAGGCUCAAAUCCAGAUUAGUAGUUUUGGGGAAUCAUCAAGAAGCCGGUAUUGAUUAUCAUGAGACAUUUUCUCCAGUUGCCAAAAUGACUACGGUGCGUGCUUUCUUGGCUAUUGCGGCUUCGAAAAAUUGGGAACUUCAUCAGAUGGAUGUUCACAAUGCCUUUUUGCAUGGAGAUCUUGAGGAGGAAGUGUAUAUGAAGCUACCCCCAGGAUUUGAGCGUUCCGAUCCGAACUUUGUUUGCAGGUUACGAAAAUCACUUUAUGGGUUGAAACAGGCUUCGAGAUGUUGGUUUGCCAAGUUGGUCACGACUCUUAAAGGAUAUGGUGUCUUACAAUCCUACUCUGAUUAUUCUCUUUUUACUUACACUAAGGGCAAUGUUCAAAUAAAUGUGCUAGUGUAUGUCGACGAUCUUAUUAUCUCUGGGAAUGAUUCCGCUGCACUUAAGACCUUUAAAGCCUAUCUCAGUGAUUGUUUUAAGAUGAAAGAUCUUAGUGUUUUGAAGUAUUUCCUCGGAAUCGAGGUGGCCAGGAGUUCGGCUGGUUUGUUCUUGUGUCAACGCAAGUACACACUUGACAUUGUAUCGGAGGCCGGAUUACUGGGAGCCAAGCCGUGUGGCUUCCCGAUCGAGCAAAAUCACAGAUUAGGACUCGCAAAUGGGGAGCUCUUGUCGAACCCUGAGUCCUAUCGCAGAUUAGUAGGUCGACUCAUUUAUCUGGCAGUGACUCGUCCAGAUUUGGCCUACUCGGUUCAUAUAUUAUCUCAAUUUAUGCAGGAGCCUAGAAUUGAGCAUUGGGAGGCGGCUUUGAGAGUCGUUCGUUAUUUGAAAGGUACUCCGGGUCAGGGUAUCUUGUUAUGUGCAGAUAGUGAUCUGUCCCUGCAGGGUUGGUGUGAUUCUGAUUGGGCAGCAUGUCCAGUCACUAGACGCUCUUUGUCCGGAUGGCUUGUGUUUCUUGGGCAAUCUCCUAUUUCUUGGAAGACAAAGAAGCAACACACAGUUUCCCGCUCGUCUGCAGAAGCGGAAUAUCGAGCUAUGACAGCAGUUACUUGUGAGCUCAAAUGGUUGAAGGGGUUGCUUCUGAGCUUGGGUGUGCACCACCCAAAGGCAAUCAAGCUCUUUUGUGAUAGUCAGUCAACCCUUCAUAUGGCCAAAAAUCCAGUAUUUCAUGAACGCACCAAACACAUUGAGGUUGACUGUCACUUUGUUCGGGAUGCGAUAACAGAUGGUUUGAUUGCUCCGUCAUAUGUUCCUACUGUUACACAAUUGGCGGAUAUUUUUACAAAGGCUCUUGGAAAGAAACAAUUUGAUUAUCUUCUUGCAAAGUUGGGCAUUUUUGAACCUCAUGCUCCAACUUGAGGGAGGGUGUUGAGAUAUUAUGAUAUAUUAUUAUGAUAUAUUCUAGGAAAGUAGUUGCUAUUGUUUAGGAUUGUUUCCUAAACUCAUGUUGAGAUAUUAUGAUAUAUUAUUAUGAUAUAUUCUAGGAAAGUAGUUGCUAUUGUUUAGGAUUGUUUCCUAAACUCAUGUUGAGAUAUUAUGAUAUAUUAUUAUGAUAUAUUCUAGGAAAGUAGUUGCUAUUGUUUAGGAUUGUUUCCUAAACUCACGGCAUUAUUUAGGAUUGUUUCCUAAACUCACGGUUUUCCCUUAAUUAGGUUUGCUUGAUGUACUAUAUAUUUAUGUGGAUGAAUAUCAAUUAGGGUUAAGCUUUGACCCUUCAAUCACACUUUACAAAAUAUUAAAAAAAAACUUAAUACUUAAUAUUAUUAAACACUCUUUAAUUUUAAGUUAUAUUUAAAAUUAAGUUUAAAAAAAAAAACCAAACAAAUGCCACUUAACCCUUUCCUUUCCACACAAUUUUAUAGAUAGUGACAAAUUGACUUAAACAUUCAAAAUUGGUUGCAUUUUUUAAGUAUAUACUAAGAAAGGAGGCUUUGUAACGAUUAAUGAAUUCAACACACGUACCUCUUUGUUUUGGCAAAUUCAACCCAUGAUGGUCUAUUACAAGAUUAUUAAAUUACGCAUUCAUGAUGUACACUAUCUUAAUGUCCGUCUUUUUCUCUUGUGGGUCCAUAGCAGAAAAUGGAUUCCCUUGCUCAAAUUAUUUUAUUUUUUUGGAAAUCUGUGGUCCACAUUUUAAAAGGCUGGAAUUCAACUCUGAUAAGGUUGAAAAGGUUUAUAAAAACUAUUGAGAUUGAGUUGGAUGUUUAAGGAUUUAAUUGAGGGAUAACAUUUGAUAUUAAAGGUAGUUUUCAUAAUAAUAUUAAAUGGUUUCAUUAAGAGUGUGUUUGAGAGUGAUUUUAGAAAACGUUUCUAGCAUUUCUAAUAUUUAAAUUAUGAAAAAUUUGAAGUAUAAAAAAUAUUAAAAGCGUUUUUUAGAAUCAUUAUCAAACGAGUUUUAAAUCUCAUUUAAAUGAUACUGAACUAAAAAUAAGGAAUAUGAAAAAUUAAUAGGAAAAAUUAUGUUUUGGGCCUAGUUGGACUCAAAAAUUAAGCUUUGAUUCAUAUAAGUUUACUAUUUAAGUUCAAGACUUAAAGGAAGUGUGAAAAUCGAGAAGAAGGAUAUGAAGUUUUUAUCUUUCCACAAAUGAUCUUUAUUGACUAUAAAAAAAAGUAGAAAAACAUUAAUUUAAAUUUUAUUCAUUUUACAAACCUCAAUAAAAUUUAAUAUAAUUUAGUGAUUUAGAAAAAAAUACACACUUUUCCAAAAAAAUAAAAAUAAAUUAUUAUUAUUUAAAAAUCAAACAUCUUGGAAAAUAUAUAUUUUUAAAAUUGUGUAUAUAAAAAAUAAUUGAAAAUAUGUCAAAUUUAUUUUUUUUAAAUGAUAUAUUUUUAAAAAAAAUUAGUUUUCUAAAAAUAAUAAUUUGUCAGAAUAAUUGUUAAAAAAAAUUAAUAUAAAAAUGUUUCUCAAAUAUUAUGGUAGAAAAUAGUUUUGAAGGGUAUAUUGGUCUUUUCAUGUUUUAUAUCAUUCUUAUCAAUUAUGCAAUUUUUAUGGGUCAAAUCUUAAUUUUUGGAUCCAGUCGGUCCAAAAGACAAUUCUCCCAAAUAAAUAUGUGAUCAAAGUAAAAAAGAAAUAUGAUUAGAAAAUAAAAAGUAUGAUAAAUUGAUACCAUGAGAUGAAACUGAGAUGUUAAUUGAUUAUUAUUAGAGGCGAUAAUUUUGAUAAAAUGUGGCUAUAUCAUUUGGAAACAAUAAAAAUUUUAACGAGUUUGUUGUAAACCAAACUAUGCACACAAAAAUAAAAAUAAAAAAGAUAAAAUUUUUAACGUGGUUCAGUGAUCGAUGUAAUCCUAUAUCCACGGAGUGCACUAAUACUCAAUAAUCCACUAAACUCAUGAGACAUCGAGUCGUUCAUAUUAUUCACAUAAAAAAUAAAUAAAAAAUUCUCUAAAGGACACUGCCCCCUUCAACUCCCGCGAGUUAAUUAGAGAGCUCAAUUGAACAACUCAACCCUCGACAUCCCAAGUGAAGUAAAACAAAAUUGAUUCAGAUUUCACAAUCCAAUAUUCAUAUAAAAUUGGUUCAGAUUUCACAAUCCAACAUUUGUAUAGUGUAAUUGUGUUCAUGUUAACCUAUAUAACUUAUAGUUGUGUUUUUAUUCAUUGUUACAACUUGUCUAAUCCAUCUACUUAGUAUUUUCAAACUAACUCGAUUAUAUACUUUGGUAUUGUUAAAAAAUAUUUUAUAAAUAAAAUAUUAAAUAAAAUAAUAAACAAAUAUAAAAUUCAAAUUUUAAUGUAUUUUAACAUUAUAAAUAUACUAUAAUUAAAAUUAAAUAAUUAAAAUAUAAUAAAAUUAAAAGUUGAAAGUUAAAACAAUUAAAACAUAUAUAAAAUAAUAUAUUUAUAAAUUUAAACUUUUAAAUAGGUUAAACAAGCUAUAAUUUAGGUGACACCAAACUUUUCAUAUGUUAAAAUAUGUUAAAAUCAUGCUAAGAGUUAUAUAUCGUAACAUGAAUUCAUAUACAAUCUAAUUUACCCUUAACCUAAUUAUUUUUAUUUUUAAUUUUUCAUAAUAAUCCUUAUCAAUGUUUUCAAAAUCAUACCAAACAUUAAAUUAAAAAAAUUACUAAUUCACUAUUAACUUAGAUUGGUAGUUGGACCGUCGAUGAAGUCACGUGAUAAAUAUAUAAUUACUAUUAUCUCAAACCGACCGUAGUCAAUGAAAUCAAGUCAUAAAUACGUAAUUUAUAAUUUAUUAAAAUUAAAAAUAAUUUCAUAAAUAAAACGAACUUUCUAUGGCCGUUAAGGUUACGUUCAUUAUCCGAACUCUGAACACAAAGCCUCCUAGGCUCUGAUCUUUCCCUGCCUCAUCCAUGGAAACCUUAGCCUCUACCUUCCCUAUUUUCACCGCAAAUCCAAAUUUUCAUACCACCAAACCCUCAAAACCCUCUAAGGUUUCUGUUUCAAUCAAGCCUCCACCGCCGGACUUCGACUUCAGAGCCCAAAUUCUCGAAGACUCUCGAGCCACAAUCGCUCAAACCCAUCCUCAACUGCUUGACUUGGCCGAUAAUGGCAGUUUAGUUGUGAUCGAAAAGAGGCUCUUCGGCCCCGUGCCUGCCUGGAGGACCGAGUUCGUGGAGCCGGAAGAGAUUUGGUUGCUCGGAACCACGCAUAUUUCGAGCUUCUCGGCUGCGGAUGUGGAGCGCGUCGUGGAGGUGGUGAAUCCUGAUAAUGUGGUGGUGGAGCUCUGUAGAAGCAGGCAAGUGCUGUCUUUGGUUAAUGGGUUUUGAUUGAAGUUGAAAAUAGUCAAUGGGUUCUGUUUGAAUUUGAAUCUAGUCAAUGGAUUUUGGUCCAAUUUGAUUGCAGUUGAUGACUGAUGGACUUAUAUGGAUUCAUGGUAGGAUUAGGGUACGCUAGUGAGUAUGUUGAGGCUUUGUUUGGUUGGUAAUUUUCAAGGACUUCUAUGGUUUGGCUCGAAAAUUAUAGAAGUAAGUGCUGCUAAAGUAAGAUGAUGCUGCCACAAGCCCUCCGCAUGUUUGAAGAAAGUUCCAAGAGAGAUUCUAUUUUAGAUUUCUUGGGAUUAUUAAUGGGGGGCAUGACAGGUGCAACGUGCCUUGAAAUUUUAUGGAAAUGGAGGAUGGUUUGAGGAAGAGUUUUGCCAUAUGGAAUGAAAUGGGUAUUUUGCACAUAAGCUAUAGAACCAUGGCAAUGGGCAUAUCUAAAAUGAUGAUUAACUUAUGUGGUGGUCUUCUGUAAGUUUCUGUUCCUACUAUAGGUCCCUACUCAUCAUGGGAUAUUGAAAACCUGAAAAUUAUAUAAUGCCAUAUGUAACUGCCAGAAGAAAGAAGGGAAUGAUGUAGACUUAAUUCAGAGAGAGGGAAGGAAGGGAAGGGAUGGGGGGAAUGAUUAAGAUCCUUAAAAUAGAAUUAUCUCGACCUGAAUGGGAACAAUGUAUGCUAUAAUUGGAGAGAGGAAAAGAGAGGGGGCUAGGGGGUUUUGAUUAUUGGGAUGAUGAAAAUGAAUGGUUAACGUUCCUGUGAUAUAGAAUUGAAGAUGAUAAUUAAAAUAGGAAAAAUUAUCAUUCCUGCUGAAUGCUAAUGCAUCUAUCAAACUUGAUGUCAUUUAUGGAAGAAUGCAGGCAGGUGUAGAACUUAUUUGUGAAAUCUUGCAUAACACUAAAUAAGAUGCAGAAUCAGAAGUCUUAUAAUCAUGAAUGGUUAUACAGGAGAGAAGCCAUAAAUGAGAUUUUGGAAAUCUCAUGAAGUUGACUAUUACACCUAUAUUUUUCCUUCAAUUCUCUUACCAUAUCAAGAUUCAUAUCUUCGUCUAACUUAGUGGUGCUGCCUUCCAGAUAUUACAGGCUGUCUAUGUCACUAGUUUAAAGAAAUGGUAGAAACCUGAAGCUGGAAGCACCAGCUAUUUUUAUUUAUAAGAGUUGAAGGAUAGCAGCAGAAUGAUCAUACUUAUGCAUGUUAACCUAGAACCAGAACCUAGUGAAAUUCAAUUUUAUACAACAUUACGGUCUAUCACAUAUGUUGGUUUAAGUUUUUCAAUGUUCAAGAGCCGUAACUCUACAGGAGAGAUUAAAACUUAAUCAGUUUUAAUAAGUAUGUCUGCUUGUUUGAUUUGACUGGAUAUCUGUCAUACUUGUUUGUCUUCAAUCCAUGGCUUAACUUCAAUUGUUGCAGAGUUUAUUUUCAGAGCUGGUAUAAUGUAUACUUCCAAUCAUGGAGAGCUUAACCAACAAUUAAGGUCGAGUAUGUUCUCUUUGAGUGGGACUGGAUUUUUUGGUGCCAUUGGUCGUAGCAUAAACUUGGGUAAGCACUAGGUUUCUGUACAUGUUAUUGUGUACCUUUGAAGCAAAAUUGCUUAUUCUUCCUUCACAUAGCAGGGGGUCAAACUGCUCUUGCAUUACGUCUUCUUUUGGCAGUUUUUUCUUCAAAAAUCUCUUCAGAUGUCAACCGCCCUUUUGGAGAUGAGGUAAUUAACUUCAACAUAAUCCUUGGAUGCACUUAAUGGAAAUGUGCUUCUUUAUAGUUUCUCGUUUAUGAAACUCUUUCCCUAAUAUGCAGUUCCGUGCUGCUCGAAAAGCAUCUGAAAAAGUUGGUGCUCAAAUAGUUUUGGGGGAUCGACCAAUUGAAAUUACUGUAUGUUCAUCUUAACUUAUGCAACAAGUCAUAUUAUGAUAUUUGGUUCUUAUCACUUGAUAUGAGCAAGCUUUCUAACUGGGCAAUUUUACCAUAUGAGGGAUGUCAAUGGGGUCAUGGCUUUCCCAUCCCUGCCCCUAUAGCGAAACUAUUUAUCCCAUCCUUGUCCCAAAUCUAGGUGGGAUGAGAUUUCAAUUACCAUCCCCGAUUUGGGGUGAGCUAGGCCAAACUUGGGUAACCUAUUAUUACCAAUAUAUUCCUUCUUCAAGAAAAAAUAAAAGAAAAUCAAACAACCUAUCUGAUUCAAAACCAGUUUCAACAAAUCUAUUCCCCCACAACCCACCACACUCCUCCCAAAAACAGGAAAAAAAGAAAAAGAAAAAGUGAAGAGUAAAAAAGGUAAUUUUUUUUUUCAAUCCAAACAAUCACCAUGGUUUUUAUUAUGAAAAAAGAAAAAAAAAAAAAAGAAGAAAAAAGCAAGAAGGAAGAAUGGCAAGGAGACAUUGAAGUGGAACGCACCUGCAACCAACGAUUUAAAAGUUGGUACUUGUCAGAUGUUGACUAGCAUGGAUAGGAUAUUGAAAGGUAAGGAAGAUUUGUUAUAUAAUUGACUCAUUUUCAGGGAAAAAUGGUAUGAAAAUUGCAUAUUAUUGAUAUGGGGAAGAGAUGUGUUUAUACAUGAUGUUAUCAUGGAAAGGUGCCGAUUUUUCAGCAAAAUAUCUCUGAUUUUGCUGUGGAAAAUUGGUUAACAAAUGUGGGACCUGAGAUCUAAUGUUUCCUUGUUAAAUAAAAAAGCAUCUAAAGGUUGAGAAACUUUACCAAUCUCUACCUACAAGUUCUAAUGGCCAUUUUUGGAGUAAAAAUACAUCCAAUAGCUAAAAAAAAUAACAGCUACCUAAAGCUUUAUGUUUUAUUAGCUAAUUUGGCCCAAAUAUAUAUAGGUCAUUUCAUUUAAUUUGAUUCCCAUCUUAGCCGUCUUGUUCAAUCAGAUCCAGAUCUCUCAUUUGACUCUCAUCUUUGUGUCAUUUAGCUUCCAUUAUUUUCAUUUUCCUCUUCCACACUAUUCUUUUUUCUUUUCCAAGUUUUUACGUAAAUUUCCAUCAGUAUUAAUAUUUCUGUAAUAUCGAACUAGCAAUAUUUUUGUCAAUAUUGAUAUUUCAUCAUUGCCUACAUUAGACGAAAAAACCAAAAGAGAAAAAAGAAAAAGGAGAAAUGGAGAAAUGAGGGAUGAGAGAUGAGUGGGAUGAGGCGUUGGGUAAGCAGAUAAAAUAAGAGAGAAAUGAGAGAGACGAGAUGGCUCAAAUGUGGGUUAGAGUUUUUUUUUGUGUUACAUAUAUACAGUUGUAAUGUUAUAAUUAUAAGAGAUUAAAAGGAAAAGUAUAAAAGGCACCUAUUUAGGAUAGGUUGGGGCAAGGUGAGGAAAUUAAAUACCCAUUUCUGACUGAACCCAAGUUGGGUUAUAAAAUUUUUUCCCAUACCUGGCCCUACCCCAUUUAUAUUUUGGCCAAACUCAACCUAUUAGGUGUGGGUGACCUAAAAAAAUGAAAUCCGUUGCCAUCCCUAUGUUAGGCCUUUCUCAUUGGUGUUUAUUAGAUGCUGAGUGAUGAUUUGUAUCGAAAGUGUUAUAUAAAGUAGGAUUAGAUUAAUCAUGCUUACCUAAUCUGCUCUUGCAGCUUGAGAGGGCUUGGAAUUCUUUGGAAUGGAAUGAGAAACUAAGCCUAGUGAUCUCUGUUAUUCGUGGAAUAACAUCAUCUGAACUGUCAACAAACGAGAUGAAGGUUUUUCUUUUACUGAUACUAUUUUUUUUUUUAUCUUGAUAGUUGAUACAUUAAAAGCUUUGCUCGACAUUAAUUUUCAUGAAAUGCUGCUGCUAUUAGUUCAUAGUAUUUAUGUGAUGUUGUAAUUUAUUAAAAUAUGUUUAACAAACUUCUGUACUUUGACAUCUUUAUGUAUCCCAAAGCAGCCAACAUGACAUGUAAUCUUCUCAUUCUGCAUAUGGUUGUGUUUAUUUCAGGUCCUGUGUCUAUUAAAAAGUUUCAAAAGAAUGUUUAUCAGGUGGACAACAUAAUGAAUCACAGCUAAUACUGUAAUCUUUGUUGUUCAAUUUACACCAAAAGAAAAGCAAAAAAAAAAAAAUACAAACUGAAAAAUGACAUACCGAUGAAGGAGAUUCUAUGUAAUAAUGGACCCUAAUUAUGUAAAAUUCUUAUUCCAUAAAUGAAAAAAAUUGUUUCCUUAACAGGGAACACUAUUCUGUCUAAAAAAUCCCACUGGCAAGACAUAUAGUGCACAAAUACACUUGAAUUUGUGUAAUACUUUAUAGGGUAGGUCAUUGUGUCUAUUAAAGAAGCAAAUAGAGAGUUUAGUUUCAUUUUCCUUUCUCAAAGUUGUGUUAGUUAAUAUGGCAGAAAUUUUGAUAUCUCUCAUCCAAUUAUGGGGAUUGCUUUGUCAUGCAAAAACUACAUGUUUCAUAUCUAUUAUGUGUUUAUUCACAGAUUAUUGCUUCAUUUAUAUUUCUACAAUUGCAAUCAACUCUAGAAGCAUGUUCUGUGCAUAAUGUUACUUUUACAGCCAAU
rnacentral:lncRNA from 1 species